rnacentral:lncRNA from 1 species
UCCCCCAAUAGUUCUGACCUGCCCAGCAUCAAGGAGUCUGGGCGAUUAAUGGCGGCAGUUUCAGCAUUGCCGCUGAAAUCCAGUAACUUAUAUACAGUUCAAUUGCCAGAAGAGGUCCCCGAUGGCGAACAAUAUACAUGCUGAUGUUGUUAGUAUCUAGUAGUGAAAACAGUCUUCAUUCAGCUGUGGAGAGAGACAAGUGGGAUCUUCAUUUUCUUUUUCUCCUGACCUCCCAAGAUGUCGUUGUCUUAUUCAUAUUCAUUGUUGUUGCGGAGUUCCUGCUCGACUAGAGUCUUUCUCGGGGAUUCAUGCCCCUUUCUAUAGGAGUAAAUAUCUAUCUGCCCCUGUCUCUCUCUGUCGAAUGGUUAAGUAGCUGUUGUGUCCCAAUUAGUGGUACAUUUGAAACUGGAAGAGAAAUGUUCACCCCAUUUGUUGGGGAAUUGUUCUCUAUGUUCAGUUAUUUCGGAUGAUGAAAUAUGCUUUCCCUGUUGGUGCUGUGGUUUUCUUUUACUUUGUUAUUAUUGCCCUAUUGCUGCUGGGUAUUUUAUUUAUUUGUUCCUUUGACACCUCCCAACUUUCAGAAGCCGUGGCAAGCUACGAGCAGAACUUCCUUGCCUUUGUAACCUCUUGAAGAUGAUCCAGUGCUGCUGAUUUCGCCAAGAAAAGUUUUUGCAGAGAAUGUAUGCAGUGCUACUGUGUAUGUGUUUAGAUCAUGCUAUGCUAUGAACCCAUAACUAAAAAGUUACCAAAAUGUAUAAUUGAUUUGACACCAUAGAAACAAAAUGUGUCAUGCUAUCAAUUUAGUUUGACAACUACAAGUUACAAAGUUUAUGGGAACCUUUUAGAACGUUUCGGUCCAUUUUUUCAUUUCUUUAUUUUGUUGUUGUUUUCCUCACGGAUUUAUUUGUUUUUUCUUUUGAUUUUCAACGGUUUUUUGGGGUUUUAAUGGGUUUUACCUUUCUUUCUCGGUUUUUAUUGGGUUCUUUCUUUUUUUUCUCUGUUUUCUUCAGUUUUCUUUAUUUCUUUCUCAGUUUUCGUUUUUUUACUGGUUCUCUUUGGGUUUUCUUUUUUCUUUGCUAUAACUUUAGUUUCCUUUGCUUUUUCACUGGUUUUAUUUGUUUCUUUCUCGUUUUCACAUUUUUUUUCAUUUUCGCGCCUUUUUGUUGUUUUUCUAUGGUUGUUUCUUUCUUUCUUGAUUUUCUCUUUUUUGCACCACCCCCCCUCCCGGUUUUCUUGUUUCCUUUUUCUGUUCAGUUUUCUUUCAUUUCUUUCUUAUGUUUCUUUAAUUUUUUAUUUAUUUCAACACAUAUCUACAUUUUUGUUACACAAUGUACAUCUUUCGUACACGUCAAGAACAUUUUAUAAUACAUGUUAAACAUUUUUCAAAUAAAUGAUUAACAUUGUUUUUCAAGUAAAUCAAAUACUUUGAUGUAUAUGUUUUCAUACACAUUGCACAUUUUUGGUAUACAUAUAAAACAUUUCUUAAUACAGGUUCAACACUAUAUAUGUAUAUGUUUUUCUUUCAAAUAUAUGCUUUGAUGUCUAAUUUUUUCCGUACAGAACAUACAUAUUUCUUAUACACCCAACACAUUUUUUAUGCAUGCUCAACAUUUUUCAUAUACAGUUAAACAUUUUUCAAAUAUGUGUUUAACAUUUUUAAAAACUUAUACCUUUUGUUGUCUACUUUUUCCCAUACACAUUGUAUAUUUUUUCUAUACCCCAGCAACAUUUCUUAUAUACACGUUUAACACUUUUCAAAUACAUGAUUAAUAUUUUUUUUGGUGUUUACUUUUCCCCUAAACAUUGGGAUAUUGUUUAUAUACAUUAGGGAUAUUUUUUAUUUAGAGUUUAUACAUUUUCAAAUACAAAAUUAACAUAUUUUCAUAUAUAUGUUUUGAUAUCUAUUUUUCAUACACAUUUACAUUUUUUUUAUAUAUUAGAAACAUUUUUUAUGCAUGAUUAAAUUUUUUCAACUUCUGUAUAUGAAGUGAUAUUUAUAAUAGAUAUAAUCAGAAUAUUUUGAAAUACAAGCAGGUUGUCUACUUUUUCCCAUACACAUUGUAUAUUUUUUCUAUACCCCAGCAACAUUUCUUAUAUACACGUUUAACACUUUUCAAAUACAUGAUUAAUAUUUUUUUUGGUGUUUACUUUUCCCCUAAACAUUGGGAUAUUGUUUAUAUACAUUAGGGAUAUUUUUUAUUUAGAGUUUAUACAUUUUCAAAUACAAAAUUAACAUAUUUUCAUAUAUAUGUUUUGAUAUCUAUUUUUCAUACACAUUUACAUUUUUUUAUAUAUUAGAAACAUUUUUUAUGCAUGAUUAAAUUUUUUCAACUUCUGUAUAUGAAGUGAUAUUUAUAAUAGAUAUAAUCAGAAUAUUUUGAAAUACAAGCAAAAAUGAAAAAAGUAAUGCAGAAAACCCAAUGCAAAGACGUGAAACAAAACAGAAGAAAUAAAAGUGCUGAAGGCCUGUCCGCGUCAAGCCAGACAUAGGGGCGCCCGCACCAUGGAAAAAGUCCAUUUUAAACCUUGAAUUUGUAGGGGUUUGGCGAAAUGAACCCCCAAGUCAAAAUCCCGGUCGAUUGCACCUUGAACUAUGUAAUCCCGGUCUAAAUCAAACCCUGGCAAAAAUCAACCGGGAUUUGUCUAGCUGGUGGGCCAAGGAGCGGCAUGUCAGCAAAUCGACGCACAUGACGCACGACAGGGCCGGCCCAGCAACCCGCCUGUUGUCUCGCUUCCCUUUCCGCGAGAAAAAAAUAAUUAGCGAGUACCAUGACUCGACCCCACGACCGCCUAGACGAACCACGAGCCAUUAGCCACUACACCGUACACAACAACUUAAAAAUGUUGGUGCAGAAAUCUAUAAGAAUAGACAACAGUUGAGAUUGGAAAACAUUUUCAAAAAUAUUUCAUGAAAACUGCAAGCAGUUUUAAGAUACCGCACUUUUUUGUAUUCCAUAUUUCCGGAAAAGUGAAGAUGUUUUGUAAUUCUGAUUUAAAAAUUAACACGAACAAAAUUUGCAAACCCCAAACAGAUUCCAAAAACGCGAACAAUUUUAAAAAAAAGGAAAACAAACAAAUUAUGAAAAACACGAACACUUUUUUAGAUUGUGAACAGUAUUUAGUAUUUUUAGAAAAUAUAUAACAGGAUUUUUUUAAUUUAGCGACAUAAAAGUUAAAACAAAAACUUUUUUUUGAAAAAGCAAACAAAAUUUGUAUUGUGCGCAUUUUAGGAAACGCGAACAAAAAUGAAAAAGGUGUGUGGAAGAUAAUUCAAACUUGCGGCAAAUAUAUGAUAGCAUUUUUGAAAAAAGUAUUAAUAGAUGAACAUUUUUGUAAUAUAUGUUGAACAAUUUUCUAAAAUAUAUUCAACAAUUGUGCUAUAUACACUGAACAAAUUUCUAAUACAAGAUGAAAGUUUUUAUAAAUGAGUGAAAUUUUUGGAAAGUACAUUGAAUAUUUCCUUAAUCCGUGAAAAAGAAAUGAAAGAAAAAAGAAAAGAUAAAAAGAAAUAAUAAAGAAAAAGAUCCACGAACACAUUUUCAAUUUAAUAGUUUGUUUUUCAGAAACUGUGAUUUUUUCCCAAAUCCAUGGACUUUUCUUUUGAAAACCCAUGAACUUGUUUUCAAAAUUGUUGAGCUUUUUCUAGAUCCGUGAACUUUUUUUAAUAAAACUUGUGAACUUUUUUUAUUUUUGAAAUUCUAGUUCAGAAGUUUCUUUUUUUUCGAUCAAACAACACCAACAUGGGGUCUCGUGUUUGAGCCAGACCGUUUUUUUUGUUUUUUAACGAAAAUUAUUAUGCGGGCCGGCCCAGCAGGGAGCAGAGUGUAGGGCCCUUUGCGGAUUUUUGUUUUUGAACCGAAAAAAUAAAGCGGGCUGGCCCAGCAGGAGCUGGUGGGCGCCCUCUGCGAAAUGUCUGAAUCCCGGCCAUCCAAACGACCCGAAGGUUCGAUUUAGACCGGGAUUACAUAGUUCAGGGUGUAAUCGACCGGGAUUUCGACUUGAGGAUUCAUUUCGCCGAACCCCUACAAAUUCAGGGUUUAAAAUGGACUUUUUCCCCGCACCACAUACUCUUUUACCUCAAAAUAAGUCCCACAUACUUUUUUUUUCAGUUGAAACCCGGUCCCACAUACACAUGCGUGCCAAGCAAACAUAUGCACAAUCCCACGCAGGAGCCAACGAUGGUUAAGCCACGUACUUCGUUCCUUUUUAUUUAGUCCGCGUAUUAGCUUUGCUCAAAGUCAAGCUUUGUAAACUUUGACAAAGUUUAUAAACAAAAAUAUUAACAUAUGUAAUAGCAAAUUAAUACUAUUAAAUUUAUUAUUAAAUGUACUUUCACACCACAUUGAUUUCUUAUGAUAAAUGUCUAUAUUAUUUUUUGUAAACUUGGUCAAAUUUUACGAAGUCUGACUUUAGUCAACACUAAUACGCAGAGUAAAUAAAAACGGAGGAAAUAUCUACGUAAUGGCAAUUUCCUAGUCGUCGCAUUUUGUGACAGAAUGUCAAGGCUACACACAUCCUUGGCUGCAACAUGGGACGGCCCAAACAAACAAAUAAACAAACAACAACAACAACAACAACAACAACAACAACAACAACAACAACAACAAAGCCUUUAGUCCCAAACAAGUUGGGGUAGGCUAGAGGUGAAAUCCAUAAAAUCUCACGACCAACUCAUGGUUCGGGCACAUGGAUAGCAAGCUUUCACGCACCCCUGUUCAUAGCUAGUUCGCAACAUGGGACGACCCACAUUGUUUUUUUAUGCGAACAUCCCGGUUUUGGGAAGAUUAGAAGGUUCUGACCGGUUUUGGGAACCUUCUAGAAGGUUCCCGAAUCGGUUUUGCCUUCAUGAUUUGUUUCUUUUCCUUCUUCAUUUAAUUUUUCUCUUUUUUUACUUUUCUUCACUUUUUCAGUUGUUUUUUCUUCAUCGUUUUUUUGGAUUCUUCUCCUUUUUAUAUUCAUUUUCUUUGUUCUUUUUCUUGUUCCAAACAAUUGCAAAUUUACAAAAAUGGUUCAUGUUUCCAAAAAUUGUUAGUUUUUUUUAAAAUCUGUCUGCAAUUUAAAAAUGGUUAGAAAUUUAAAAAUUGUUAGUUUUUUUUAAAAUCUGUCCGCAAUUUAAAAAUGGUUAGAAAUUUCAAAAUUGUUUGCAACUUUUCAGGUAUUUUCUAGUUACGCUGCUCCUUAGACUUUGGGCGCCUCAUUUCUCACUACUAGCAGGCAGAAGGCACACCUAGAGAUUUCAAACAAUGUUUAAUUUUUUAAAAAUUGUUUGCAACUUUUCAAGUAUUUCCUAGUUAUGCUGCUCCUUAGACUCCGGGCGCCUCAUUUGUCACUACUAGCAGGCAGAAGGCACACCUAGAAAUUUGAAGAUGGUUAGAAAUUUCAAACAAUGUUAACAUUAUUUUUUAAAAAUAAAGACGCAAUUUAAAAAUUGUUAGAAAUUUUAAACAAAGUUUUUUGCUUUUAAAAUUUGUUUGAAUUUGAAAAAAGGUUCAACAUUUCAAAAUAUUGUUCUUAAAUUCAAAAAUAUUCAAAAUUUCAAAAGACAUUUCCAUUUUAGAAAAAUGUUCUAGAAUUUUUAAAAAUGGUUGUAUUUAUUAAAAAGAUGUCCGGAAUUUCAAAUGAUGUUCGUGUUUUCAAGGUUUGUUUACAAAACCAAAGAAUGUUCACGUUUUUUUUUUGGAAUUUUAAAUUUCUUUAUAUUUGUAAAAAAUUGCUCAUAAUUUCAAAAAAUAGUUCGAAAUCUGUAAAAUUGUUUGCAACUUCUCAAGUACUUCCUAGUUACCCUGCUCCUUAGACUUCGGGCGCCUCAUUUGUCACAACUAGCCCGUGCGUAUUUGUGGUGUUUUUAUUUGAAAGUAAGAGAAGGAGUCACAAUUGGUUGCGAAGAUUUUUUUUGACAAAUUCCAGAAAUUUUCAUUACACCUUGACAAAACAUGUAAACAUAAUUAGGAUCUGGAAUCAAUUAUUUAUAAUUUGUCACUUACAACUUUCCAAGAACCUAAUACUUCUCUGCGGGCGAUGGUGCUAGAGGGCAUUGCUGGAAAAAUGUCAUAUACACAAACUGAGGUCUGAUGGCCUGCAAGUGCACAUGGCUGUUAUAGCACUCUCGUGAUAAAUAGAGUGUCAAACCCACAUGAAGCGAAUAGGAAGGCACCACAAAACCCGCGGCUACGCUGCCACUUUAUGAACUGCAUACACACCCAAACUGUAAUUAGGGAAUAACCUUCUUUAGUAAGUUGCUAGGAACACAAAUAAAAGGGAUAGUGUUUACUAAACUAUGAACAAGAAAUAAAAGACAGAAAAGUAAAGAGACUAACUUCGUGAAAUGAUGCUUGGGUAGUAAAUGUUCACGAGGGAAUUGGAGUCAUCACCACAAGUACGAUGCUGACAACACAUGAUAAACUUGGCUAUCUAAUUGUAUCACUAAGCCACUUAUAUAUGAUCUCGCGUGGGUGGAGCCAUAUAAAGUACUCAUCCCCACUAAGGUUACCGUGUUCCGUGCUUCCCCACUCCGGUUAUCACAACGAUGAUUAAGGGGAGUGAACUCCCCGUGGUCACGGCCUUAAAUUCUAUGGUUCUCCACUAAUCCCUAUUGCAAUGAUCAGGGAGGAAGCGAGAAUAUGUCAUGUCACCACCUACCCUCCACAACUAUCCUUCUCACCAAUGACUUGUCUGAAGUCCACAAGGGGAUAAUGCUGUGUGGCAACCUUCACAACACCAUGAGAAAAUCAACGCAACACAUAUAAAGAGAAUAUUGGAUAGCUUAUUCAACAAAGUCCUAAUCAUGGAAGGGUUCACCAAAAUCCUGAGAACUAACACAACUACUCAAACAUCAUAGAGGGACAGGGCAAGUUACAAGCCAGCAUGAAGUCGGUGGAGGAGAGGAGCAUAGCGGCGCCGGUGAUGGUGUUGACGGCCCGCUAGCGGUGAAGACCGCACCAGCUCGAAGGCCGGUGCGCGUGGUAGAUGCAUCCCUUCUUCUUCCUCUUGGAUUGGCCAUUAUCUUCUCUAUGGAGGUUGUUUUGGAGCAACAAUGGAUGUGGAUAAUGGCUGUGUGGAUCAAUGAAUGUUGAUGGAGCAUCAGAGACAGCGGCUAGGGUUGUGUAUUACUUAUAUGGAGAGCUUCCCUAGCCUCCUCCCUUGAUGGGAUUCACCCAGGGGCUCACAACGAGCCUAAUCCUCUCCCAAUCUCUUAUUUACGAGACAAGGAUCCCGUGGGAUCGAACGGGGACGAAAUCUAUGAAGAUUUCCGUCUAGAAGGGAAACUUUCGGAGCUGUGUGUUGGGAAACGUAGCAUGCAAUUUCAAGAAAUUUCCUACGGUCAAGCAAGAUCUAUCUAGGAGAUGCAUAGCAACGAGAGGGGAGAGUGUGUCCACGUACCCUCGUAGACCUAAAGAGGAAGCAUUAACUUAAUGCGGUUGAUGUAGUCAAACGUCUUCUCGAAUCAACCGAUCAAGUACCGAACGUACGACACCUCUGAGUUUUGCACACGUUCAGCUCGAUGACGUACCUCGAUCUCUUGAUCCAGCAGAGUGUUGAUGGAGUCGAUGAGUUCCGUCAGCAUGACGGCGUGAUGACGGUGUUGGUGAUGUGAUCCGUGCAGUACUUCACCUAAGCACUACGAUGAUACUAUCGGAGGAGUAAACGGUGGAGGGGGGCACCGCACACGGCUAAGACAAUGUUGUGCCUUUGGGGUGCCCCCUUGCCCCUGUAUAUAAAGGAGGGAGGAGGAGGCCGACCACCAGGGGCGCACGCCAUGGUGGGGAGUAUUACUAGGACUCCACUCCUAGUAGGAUUCGCCCCCCUUUUUUCCUUCUUUCCGGAGUAGCAAAGGGGGAAAGGGAGAGGGAGUUGGAGUGGGAAAGGGGGCGCCGCCCCCUAGUCUAAUGCGGACUCCCAUGGGGGAGGGGGCGGCCACCCUUUGUGGGCUGUCCCCUCUCUCUUCUGUGGCCCAUGUUGGUCCAUUACUUCCCCGGGGGUUCUGGUAACCUCCCGGUACUCCGAAAAAUAUCCGAAACUUCCCGAAACCAUUCCGGUGUCCGAAUGUAACCUUACAAUAUAUCAAUCUUCAUCUCUCGACCAUUUCGAGACUCCUCGUCAUGUCCGUGAUCUCAUCUGGGACUCCGAACAACCUUCGUUCACCGAAACAUAUAACUCAUAUAAUAUUAAUCGUCAUCGAACGUUAAGCGUGCGGACCCUACGAGUUCGAGAACUAUGUAGACAUGACUGAGACACCUCUCCGGUCAAUAACCAAUAGCGGAACCUGGAUUCUCAUAUUGGUUCCCACAUAUUCUACGAAGAUCUUUAUCGGUCAAACCGCAAUGUCAACAUUGCUAUUCCCUUUGUCAUCAUAUGUUAGUUGCCCGAGAUUUGAUCGUCGGUAUCUCUAUACCUAGUUCAAUCUCAUUACCGGCAAGUCUCUUUACUCGUUCCGUAGUGCAUCAUCCCGUAACUAACUCAUUAGUCACAUUGCUUGCAAGGCUUCAUAUGAUGUGCAUUACCGAGAGGGCCCAGAGAUAUGUCUCCGAUACUCGGAGUGACAAAUCCUAAUCUCGAUCUAUGCCAACCCAACAAACACCUUCAGAGAUACCUGUAGAGCAUCUUUAUAAUCACCCAGUUACGUUGUGAUGUUUGAUAGCACACAAGGCAUUCCUCCGGUGUCCGGGAGUUGCAUAAUCUCAUAGUCAGAGGAAUAUAUAUUUGACACGAAGAAAGCAGUAGCAAUAAAACUGAACGAUCAUUAUGCUAAGCUAACAGAUGGGUCUUGUCCAUCACAUCAUUCCACUAAUGAUGUGAUCCCGUUCAUCAAAUACAACACAUGUCUAUGGUUAGGAAACUUAACCAUCUUUGAUCAACGAGCUAGUCUAGUGGAGGCUUACUAGGGACACGGUAUUUUGUCUAUGUAUCAACACGUGUAUCAAGUUUCCGGUUAAUACAAUUCUAGCAUGAAUAAUAAACAUUUAUCAUGAAAUAAGGAAAUAUAAAAUAACAACUUUAUUAUUGCCUCUAGGGCAUAUUUCCUUCACUGUCUUACGUCAAAUGACCGCAGAACGCUGUCUUUUUGUGCAAUCUCUCUCUAGUAAAACGACAGCCAUUUCUUCAUACGAACUCAGAAUUUGAAGUUCUUGAGCUCAUUGGAUUCGUAUGAAUGAUGCCGAUCCAUUUAUAGUCUUAGAUCUUGAUUUGGAGCUGAAAGUGCGUUAUAUCGACUAGAGGGGGGGGGGUGAAUAGGCGAUUUUUAUGAAUUCUUCACUGAGGAAUUUGCCGGUGAGGAAAUUCCUUAGCGAAGAACUACUUGUGGUCCACACGAUCACUAGCAUAGUCAGAGUCAUAAUAUCCAAUGAGAUCAAAAGUAGAGCCCUUGGGGUACCAUAAUCCUAGUGUUGGUGUGUGAGCUAGAUAUCGAAGAAUAUGUUUCACAGCCUUAUGGUGUGAUUCCUUCGGUGUAGCUUGAAAUCGGGCACACAUGCAAACACUAAGCAUUAUAUCUGGCCUAGAUGCACAUAAGUACAAUAAAGAACCAAUCAUGGAGUGGUAUACCUUGUGAUCGAAGUCAAUACCAUUUUCAUCAGUGCAUAGAUGGCCAUUUGUGGGCAUAGGAAUUUUGACUCCUUUGCAAUCUUGCAUGCCGAAUUUCCUCAUAACUUCCUUGAGGUAUUUCUCCUGAGAUAUGAAUAUGCCAUUGUGCUGUUGACGAAUUUGAAGACCUAAAAAGAAUUUCAACUCUCCCAUCAUAGACAUUUGAUAUUCUUCACUCAUCAUAUAGGCAAAUUCAUCACUAUAAUGUUGGUCAGUACAGCCAAAGAUAAUAUCAUCAAUGUAUAUUUGGCACACAAACAGUUCACCAUCAUAAGAUUUAGUAAAGAUAGUAGGGUCAAGUGAACCGGGUGUGAAGCCAUUCUUCACGAAGAAUUCCUUCAAAGUAUCAUACCAUGCCUGAGGCCUGCUUGAGGCCAUAGAGGGCCUUGUUGAGUCUGAAGACUUUGUCAGGAUUCUUUGGAUCUUCAAAACCUGGGGGUUGAGCAACAUAUACUUCUUCCUCAAGCUUACCAUUGAGGAAUGCACUUUUCACAUCCAUUUGUUGUAAGAUAAUAUUAUGAUGGUUAGCAUAAGCAAGUAAUAUGUGAAUAGCCUCAAGUCUAGCAACAGGUGCAAAAGUUUCAUCGAAAUUAAUUCCUUCAACCUGUGUGUAGCCUUGAGCUACAAGUCGUGCCUUAUUCCUCACCACAAGGCCAUUUUCAUCUUGCUUGUUGCGGUAGAUCCACUUUGUGUCGAUGAUAUUAUGCUUGCGAGGAUCUGGACGUUUGACCAGUUCCCAGACAUUAUUGAGCUCGAACUGAUGUAAUUCUUCUUGCAUGGCCUGAAUCCACUCAGGCUCCAGAAAUGCUUCAUCUACCUUAGUGGGCUCUGUGAUAGAGACAAAAGCAUAGUGCCCACAAAAGUUAGAUAAAUGUGAAGCUUUUGAGCGUGUGAGAGGACCUGGUGCUUCAAUGUCAACGAUGAUCUUUUCAACUUGCACUUCUUUUGCAACGCGAGGAUGAGCUGGUUGUCGUUGAGGAAUUUGAUCAGCAUUUUCUUCAGCAUUUUCCUCAGGUACAUCAGCUCGUCGAUCUUCGCGUUCUGGAAUAAAUUCUUCAGUAGAUUCUUCGGUAGGAAUGAUAUCCUCAGUUGUCUUGAACUUGAUAGAAUCCUCAGGUGCUGGUUCAUCUAUCACAGAAGGUAGGUGCUCUCUUUGCGAGCCAUUAGUUUCAUCGAACCACACAUCUACAGUUUCAACAAUCUUGUGAAGAGUGAUGUUGAAGACUCUGUAGGUGUGCGAGUCCUUUCCGUAACCAAGCAUAAAACCUUCAUGUGCUUUUGGUGCAAAUUUAGCAUUGUGAUGAGGAUCUCUAAUCCAACAUUUAGCACCGAAGACUUUGAAAUAACUCACAUUGGGUUUCUUGUCAGUGAGGAGUUCAUAGGCAGUCGUCUUGAAGAAUUUGUGAAGAUAUACUCUGUUGAUGAUGUGGCACGCGGUAUCAAUUGCAUCAAUCCAAAACCGAUGAGGCGUUUUGUAUUCAUCAAGCAUAGUGCGAGCCAUCUCAACAAGAGUUCUGUUCUUGCGCUCCACGACGCCAUUUUGCUAGAGGAGUAUAAGGAGCAGAUAACUCAUGAGUAAUACCAAGUUCAUCAAGAUAGCCAUCAAGACCGGAAUUCUUGAACUCAGUUCCAUUGUCACUCGUGAUGUGCUUGAUCUUCACACCAAAGUUGGUUGAAGCCCUCGAGGAAAAUCGUUUGAAGACGUCCUGCACUUCAUGUUUGUAAGUAACAAUGUGUACCCAUGUAUAACGAGAGUAAUCAUCAACAAUAACAAAGCCAUAUAGAGAUGCAUCAUUAGUCACAGCAGAAUAAUGAUUAGGACCGAAGAGAUCCAUGUGAAGCAAUUCAAAUGGUCGAGUGGUGGUCAUGAUAGUCUUUGCUGGAUGCUUGGCCUUGGUCAUUUUUCCAGCUUCACAUGCACCACACAGGUGAUCCUUGAGGAACUUGACGUUCUCAAUGCCAAUAACAUGCUUCUUCUUCGCGAGCAUGUGCAGAUUCCUCAUGCCAGCAUGACCAAGUCGUUGAUGCCAUAGCCAGCCUUCUGAAGCUUUUGCAAGUAAGCACACGGCAGGUUGUGGUCCUGUAGAGAAAUCAACAAUGUACAAGUCUCCUCUCCUAAAGCCUUCGAAGACUUUGGAAUUGUCAGCUUCCAUGAUCACAACACAAUGAUACUUGCCAAAGACAACAACCAUAUCAAGAUCACAAAGCAUUGAGACAGACAUGAGGUUGUAUCCUAAGGACUCGACAAGCAUGACUUUGUCCAUGUGUCGAUCCUUAGAGAUCGUAACCUUACCUAGACCCAAUACCUGACUUUUGCCUUUGUCAGCGAAGAUGAUAUGCUUCAGAUGUGACGGUGUUAAUGGAGCAUCCAUCAAUAGAUUCUUGUCACCAGUCAUGUGAUUUGUACAUCCAUUAUCGAGGACCCACUCAUUUGCUUUGGGUUGAUCAUCCUGCAGAUGAAUUAGUGCAGCUUACACACUCAUAUACUUCAUCAGUGAAGAAUAUGACAUCAGUAUCAUCAGUUCAAUUUCAUCAAGUAAUUUGAUCAGAUAAUCAGUAUGAGGACGGGUGAAAUGAAGGUUCAUUUCAUCAUGAUUCGCCUGUGUCCUUUCAGGCAUUUUGUCAGCCCCCCAGCAAAUUCUUCAGACGUUAAAGCACGUCUAGAGGCCUGACCCUGCAUAAGAGAUUAGUUCUUUUUCUUCACCACCCACAUCUGGAGGGGUGGCAAAGAGUUCAUCACUCUGCGAGCACCAUAUGAGAAAGGUGGCAAAGAUGCCAAACCAUUUCGUUUCACAUAAGAGGGGUUAGGGUAAGCAUAUGAAUAAGCAGAGAAAUUCUUUGAGGACUUAUGAACAUAAUGAUUUGAAGAAUAAUGCACAUAUUCAUAGCCCUUAGCUCUACCCUGCGAAACAGAGUUGUUAGCACGAUGAUGUUCAUAUGAGGAUUUUGAUCCUUUUGAGGAAUUUGAUCCACGUGAGGAAUUUGGUCCGUAUGAGGACUUGGAUCCAUAUGAAAAAUUUGGUCCAUAUGAAGAGUUUGAUCUGUGGUUCCUAUUCUUCACUGGUGGUGUCGUGAGGACAUUCACCUGAAGACUUUCAACAUAACUUUUCGGAACCCAGAUUUUCUUCAUAGGGGAACCGUUCCUGCAGUUAGUGCCAACAUAUCUAGAAAAUACUUCACCAUUUUGAUUUUUGAACAGUUUGUAGUUGGAGUCAAAUGACUCAUCAAAAGAAUGAGGAGAUUCACACGUAAAGCCAGAUAAGUUAGAUGGAUCAAUUGGAGGUCCCUUUGCAGCAACCCAUGAGGUUUUGGGGUACUGCUCAGGCUUCCAAUAUGUUCCAUCAGCAUUGAGUUUCCUCUCAAAGGCAAUACCCUCUUUCCUAGGAUUUCUGUGGAGGAUCUACUUUUUAAGCACAUCACAAAGAGUCUGAUGCCCUUUGAGACUUUUGUACAUGCCUGUCAUAUACAAUUCCUUCAGCCCUGCAUCGUCAGUGAUACUAGCAAUGUACUCAGAUAAGGAAUUAGUGAUAGCAGAGGCAGGUGAAGAAUUUGUAACAUUUGAAGCAUUUGAACAUUCAGGUGAAGAAUUAGCAGAUUCACGUUCAAUUCACUUUAAGCAUGGAGGAUCAAAUUCUUCCCGAGUAGCGCUGAUUUGUUGAGCAAGUAAUGAAUCGCGCUCCUUCUGAAGAUCUUCAUAACUCACUCUUAGCUUCUCAAGAUCUUGCUUUCUUUGAAGAAAUUCAUAAAAAAGCUUCUCGUGAUCGGUUAAGAGGGUUUUAUGAUGACUUUGAAGGUUGUCAAACUUAGACUGAAGUCUCUGAAGAUUUUCAGUUAAGUCUUUAGUGCGGUCCAUUUCAUCACCCAACAUAUCAUCACUUUUGUCUAGCAUGUUUUGAAGUUUUUCAAUAGCCUUUUGUUGUUUCACAACAAUCUUAGCAAGUUUGGAGUAGCUAGGCUUAAGAUUUUCAUCAGAUUCAUCCUCACUUGAUUCAAAGGAGGGGUAUUUAGUUACCUUGGCAGCCUUUGCCAUGAAGCAAUAGGUGGGAGCGUAGUCGUCAUUGCCUUCAUCAGCAUUGUUGGUGUUGCCAUUUUCUUCAGAGUUGAAGAUAGACUUGCUGACAAAUGCGGUAGCAAGAGCUAGACUUGCCACACCUGACUCAGACUCCUCGGAUGCCUCCUCUUCCUCAUUAUCCUCAAAUUCAGCCUCAGAAUCCAUUUCCUUGCCAAUGAAUGCCCGAGCCUUCUUGGAGCUGCUCUUCUUGUGAGAUGAAGACUUCGAGGAUUUUGAUGAUGAAGACUUUGAAGAUUUCUUCUUCCUCUUGGCAUCAUUAGAACUGUAAUCCUUGUAUUUCUUCUUCUUUAGUUCCUUGUCCCACCGAGGACAAUCUUGAAUGUAGUGACCAGGCUUCUUGCAUUUGUGGCAUAGCCUUCUCUUAUAGUCACUUGAUGAGGAAUCACUGCUCCUUGAAGAUUUUCCAAAGCGACCACGUCUUGAGAAUUUCUGGAAUUUCUUCACGAGCAGUGCUAGCUCCUGGCUCAAUUCUUCAGGAUCACCAAGGCUACUACCAGAAUCUUCACAUUCCGAUUCAGACACUGCCUUGGCCUUCAGGGCACGUGGUUUGCCAUAGCUUGAACCAUAGAGAUCUCUCUUUUCAGCAAGCUAGAACUCAUGAGUAUUUAGCCUCUCGAGGAUAUCAGCGGGAUCUAGUGACUUGUAAUCAGCACGCUCUUGAAUCAUCAGUGCCAGAGUGUCAAAUGAUGAAUCGAGUGAUCUCAGCAAUUUCUUCACCACCUCAUGAUCGGUGAUGUCAGUGGCACCGAGCGCUUGAAGCUCAUUUGAGAUGUCAGUGAGGCGAUUGAAGGUUUGCUGAACAUUUUCAUUGUCGAGUCUUUUGAAGCGGUUGAAGAGAUUGCAAAGAACGUCAACACGAGAGUCACGUUGAGUUGAAACUCCUUCGUUUACUUUGGAGAGCCUAUCCCAGAUAAGCUUAGCAGUUUCCAAAGCACUCACUCUACCAUACUGCCCUUUACUCAGAUGACCACAUAUGAUAUUCUUCGCUUGAGAAUCGAGUUGCUUGAAUCUCUUCACAUCAGCAGCAUUCAUGGAAGGUGUGAAUGAGGGAACACCAUUUUCCACAACGUACCAGAGAUCGUUGUCAAUUGCUUCAAGAUGCAUUCGCAUCUUAUUCUUCCAGUAGGGGUAGUCCGUGCCAUCGAAGGUAGGACACCCAGCAGAGACCUUGAUCAUACCUGCGGUCGACAUAACUAGAACUCUAGGUGGUUAAACCAAAAUCACACAGAAAUAGGGAGUACCUUGCUCUGAUACCAAUUGAAAGUGUGUUAUAUCGACUAGAGGGGGGGGGGUGAAUAGGCGAUUUUUAUGAAUUCUUCACUGAGGAAUUUGCCGAUGAGGAAAUUUCUUAGCGAAGAACUACUUGCAGCGGAAUAAGUACUCAGAAGUAAGCAUGACAGAAUACACACAUGGUCAUCAUGAUGAAAUGAAGACAGACACAGAGUACAGAAAGCGUAAACACAUGAUAACACAAGAUGAAGACAAACAGACUGAAGAAAUUGAACUGAGGAAAUUGAGAAAGUCUUCGGCCAAAGUCUUCAAACACAGAUAUGAACAAACACUCAACAUAGUAAUGAGGAAAUGAAAGAGUUGAGGAAAUAGAACCAGUAAGGUUGGUGAAGACAAUGAUUUGGUAGACCAGUUCCAACUGCUGUCUCAGUUGUACAUCUGGUUGGAGUGGCUGAGUAUUUAAACUCGAGGACACACAGUCCCGGACACCCAGUCACUGAGCACGCAGCUCAGGACACCAAGUCCUCACUGUAUUCUCCUUGGACUAAGGUCACACAGACCUCGUCCAAUCACUCGUGGUAAGUCUUGAGGCGACUUCCAAACCUUCACAGACUUCGGUCACUCGGCGAUCCACAAUUCCUCUUGGAUGCUCUAGACCAUGACGCCUAACCGUCUGGAAGAAGCACAGUCUUCAAAGGUAACAAGCGUCGGAUCCACGCAGGAUCAAUCUCUUCAGUGAUGCUCAAUCACUUUGGGUUUGUGGGUGUUUGGGUUUGGAUUUUCCUCACUCGAUGAUUUUCGCUCAAAGUCCUCGGAGGAUGGGUUGCUCUCAAAUGACAAGUGUCAGUUUCUCUCGGAGCAGCCAACCAACUAGUGGUUGUAGGGGGCGGCUAUUUAUAGCCUAGGGAGCAGCCCGACAUGAUAAGACAUAAAUGCCCUUCAAUGAUAUGACCAUUAUGUUGAUAAGAUAUUUUGGGAUAGCUGGCGCGUAGCACAGCAACGGUCGGAAAUUUGACUCUCAAAUUCCUCAGGGCUAUCAUGUUCCUCACUGUGUAGGCAAUCCGCACUGGCAAAUUCCUAACUCCUCAGUCAGAAGAAAUUCCUCAGCGACCAGAAGAACUUUGUCUCUGUCACUGAAGAAAUUGACCGAACUGUAUGAGAUUUCCAAUGGCUUCACUCGAAGGGAUUGCUAGGUGUAGGAUUUUGAGUUGAGCAUCACAUGGAAAUUUUUCCUUAGUAUUUCUUCGACCCCCUUUAACAGUACGGUGUUUCCUAUGACUCAAGAAGGAGAAAAACAAAACUAUGAAAACGAAAGUCUUCAAGCUUCAUAUUCCUCGCAUGUAUAUCAAGUCUUCACGGACACACCAAUUUCUUCACUUUCAAAGUCUUCAUGAAAGUCUUCAGAAAUACCAAAAUCUUCAGUCGAAGAUAUUCAUUUUUAGGGGUCGACUUUCUCUGUAAAUAUCAAACUCCUCAUAGACUUAUAGACCUGUGUACACUCAUAAACACAUUAGACCCUUAACCUAUAAGUCUUCAAUACACCAAAAUCACUAAGGAGCACUAGAUGCACUUACAGGAGCACUCUAGAAAAAUGACUUUUUCCGACCUUCGAAAUGGCUAAGUUUGACCCCUGACUGACCCCGUAUUGAAUCCAUCCUUGCUCCUUUCAUUGUGCUUGUUCCUAGGUUGCUCCAAUACAACUAUAGACACAGGAAAUGAAGGAAAACUAAUAAAAACUAAAUAAAUACAAAAUGUGCAAUACUCACAAUGAAAAGCGCAAAAAUCGGUAAUCAUGCAUAAUGGACAUACAUUUGGUUCAAUGAGACAUGAUAUAUAAAGAGAACAUGCAACAUAUGAGCUCUAAAAAUGCGUAAAAUAUAGAGCCAUCAUGGUUAUUGCUAAAACAAAUGGCAUAUACACUGGUAGCACCAUACUAUCAAAAGAGGUGGAAGUAGUUUACAAAUCUCACAUAAAUUAUCAAUUCAAAUUAAGUACAUCACUCCCCGUCUUCCAAUUCUUUUUACUGGUAGCACCAUACUCUCGAUAAUUUUGGCCUAGUUUCCUUCAUAAUCUGGAAAAGUAUUCUUAAUGGUGGUGGAGGGCCUCCGUGCCCUCCCGAAGAUGCUUUUGUGAGAAAAACAAGUAGGUUACUUUCGGCUUCGGGGAUUCAUGUCCCUUUAUCUAGGAGUACAUAUGUGCCCAUGUUUCUUUCUUUCUAUGGACAAGUAGCUCUAUUGUUUCUUCCUAUGCAAAUGGGGUUUCCAUAUGCCUAUUGUGGCUGACUUAUGUCUAUGGACAGAUGGCUUCUACGGCCACCACCUUUGACAUCAUCAAAAAUGGAGUUCAGUAAUGAGCUGACUUAUGUGCCUAGUAUGGCCCCUAAAUCGAAAUUGGAGGAAGGUGAUAUGCAGGUUAGCAAAUUUCUACUUAAAAUAGGAUACUGUAUUUGUUAUUUCAUGGUGCCUAACAAUACACUCUUUUACUUUCGAGGUUCUUUCAUGAGAGGAUAAAGACACCAUCGAACUUUGCAAAAACAUGUUAAACAGACGAGGAUGCCAUCUACUUCUUGUGGUUUUUGAUUCCCGCGAGGGGUAUGUUCUUGGAUCCAUUAUGCUUCUAUCAUAUUUGUGAUUUCUAGUACAGAAGAAGUAAACUAACACAACUUAUCUUUUUAGCUUUAGUAUAUGCAGGUUGAUGCAGUUAGUAAGGAUAUGAUAUUCUUUACAAAAUACACUUUUGACCUUGAUUAUUUGGAUCAAGGAGAAUGAUGGUUGUGAUAGUAUAAUGACCCAUAUAUCAGACUAUCACCAGCGGAUACUUCCAAGAAGCUUGAUAUUUUUCCUUCACAGACGGGGCAACACCCCCCACUUAUUAAUGGCAACAACGACCGCACUCCGUUAGUAGUCACUUCCAACCUUAUGGACGUAAAAUGUGUUAGGCAUCACUUAUAUAGUUAUACUAAUCUAAUAUCAUCGAACUCCUUCAUGGAUGGCAAGAAGAAGCAGAACAUCAAGUGUGUGAGAUACGACAUCGAUGGUGAGAGCCAUGUCUUGUUGAUCUCUGCCACGACUUAGCUUGUGGCAAGAAGCUAUACUAUGACUAUAAUGGGCAUGAGUAUGCGUACCGAACACUUAAUUUUGUCUAACUCCCAAUAGUUCUGACCUGCCCAACAUCAAGGAGUUUGGGUGAUAAUAGGGAUUAAUGGUGGCAUUUUCAACAUUGCCUCUGAAAUCUAUUAACUUCUAUGUAGUUCCGUUGCCAGAAGAAUUCCCUACACUACUAGGAAAAGGCCUACUAGUGGCGCACCUGUUUUGGCUACUAAUGGCGCACUACAGGUGCGCCACUAGCAUCACGCCAUUAGAACUUUUUACUAAUGGCGCACCACAGGUGCGCCAUUAGUAUCUGGUAUACUAAUGGCGCACCAGGCAGUGCGCCAUUAGUAUAUCCCACGGUGCGCCAUUAGUAUGCCUCCCAGGGUGUCAUAUUUACCCAUGUGCUCUGGCUUACUAAUGGUGCACUUGUUGAUGAUGCGCCACUAGUGUGCUUUUUCCAGUGUGCCACUAAAGUGCUGAGUGGUGCGCCACUAGUAUGAAUAUUAGGGAUUUUUUUUUCUAAUAUUUGCAUAGGUUACAAAAUAUAUUACUGCACAGAAUAUGGAGAGAACAACAUAUAAACAACAGAUUUAUCGAAUACAAUAGAAGAUUAGUCUCCGAAUACAAUUUAUCAUAUUAGUCUCUGAAUUUAAAAUACCGAACAAAGUUAGAACAUUACAAGUCUUGAGACGCGAGUAGCGAGUUUGUAUUCACAUUACAAGUCGAUAUCGAUCAUCUAAACUACCAUCACAUAGAAGAGAGCUGCGGUCAUCACGAUGAGCAUAAUCACGAUGAAACUGGUCUUCAUCCGGUUCCUCCAACGCUCCCUCCUCUCUCCCGCUAGAUAGCGCACGUAUCUAACUUCCGUCUCCGCCUUAGUGGUGUACCCUUUGUAACUGUUACCGCUAAAACGGUGAACCUAUCUCCGACACUCCUCCCAGUCGUCGUAGACUCCGGGAACCUUACCCUUGUACACGACAUACGACAACAUCUCUAUGCACCAGCCAAACAAAACGUUAGUAGCAAUUCACAGAUACUACAUAAGCAAUAUAUAAGUAUGCAACAAAAGGAUCGGAAGAGAAAAGCAACACAUUAAUAGCACGAUUCAUGGUCCUACUAAUAAAUAGCAUCGAUUACAUAUAAGUUGAACGACUGUCCAAACCAAAGAGACAUACAAGUUCAUUAAAGUUUAAUAUUACAACAUGAGCCAAUCGACAUUUCAGAACUACAUAGCAUGACUACUUUCGACUCGACUCAGGGACCGGAGCGUGGAUGAAGCCUCCGUCGUUCGUGAUGGUCAUGAAAUCGCGGGUGUUGUAAGCCUGCAUUUGUAGCGUUGUUUCUAUCUCGCUAUUGGACGGUUGAGAUCUGAGGUAGAACUGCCCCGAGGUACGAAGGACAUCUUGAUGGAUGAUUUCCGCAAACUCCGACCAGAUGCGAAAGAAUUCUUGUCUGAUGUCCGCGUCCUGGAUUGCUGACAAGCGUGUGGCCCAAUCUUUGAGAUUAUUUGGUAGCAGAAGGUGAUUAUGGUCCCAUACGAUCACCCGCACGUGAUGGAGGGCGUAGUAGGCAUCCUUCUGACCGCCAGGCGGCUGCUUGACGCAGGGGAACGUCAUAUUGUGGGUGAACACGUGCUUGCCGUACCUACGAAUUGGCCUCUUGAAGGUGCCGCCAGAUCUGGCGCAGCCGGGGAGAGCAUCAUCAAGAACUUUCUUGAUAUUUGUAUAGUCUAUCUUCUACUCACGGUCCGGAUCGAAAUACAUGGCCAUGGAAUAUUUCGGGCUUAAGAGGAUGAGUGUGCAAUGUGUGUCACUGCACAAAACACGGAAUGUUAGAAAAAAAAGAACGAUCAAAAUCUAAGAAAUCAUAUGUUACGGGGUGGUGAGGGGAUGAAUUACUCGGGAAAGUUAGGCACGAGGAGGUUAUCCUUAUCUGGGUUUGCCAGAAUGAUGCCUUCGAGGUGUGAACUCGUGACUUGCCGGUCCCCAGCACUGCCCAAGAUCUUGGCACGCAUGUAGAAGGGGUCGACUAUCACGAUGUCCGGGGUCUUGUCUCUAAUGAUCUGCAUCUCCAUACUCGGCGAAAAUAGCCGAACGAAGGUGUAGUGCAGCGGAUGAAGGUUAAACAUAGCAAAGAUGUCAUCAAACCGCAGGACGAUCAUACCCCCGAUGGCGCUAUCCACAAAGCCCUUGCCCUCUGGCACCUUGGCCACGAAAACCGGGUAUGCCACAUCAUUCUCGGAGAGACGCCGCUUCUCCAAAGAAAGAACACUGUCAUGCAGACUCCACAUAGCACCGGUUGCAGCAUUGAGCAGAUUAGUCGGUAGCAUCGGCCUACCCGCCACAUGCACCCUCCUCGAGAUAUCCUUAGGUGAAGGUGGCCCGUUCUAAGCACGGAUCAUACUCGGUGCCGGCUGGCUCGCACCGCCCUUGUUAUUCUUUCGUUUCCGUCCCUUCUUCUUCUGCUGCUGUAACGGGAUCGAGUUCUGCUCAGAGACCGCCUUCUUGAGUGUGUUGGGGCUGAUAAUAUUUUGCACCUCGGCUAUCUGAGGCUCGGUGAAGGCGGAAGCUGGAGGCGUCUCCUGAGAACUAAACGCCAGACGACGCCUGUUGCAAUUGGGUUUCUCCAUGGUACCAGCUAGAUCGCGGUCGUCUUUUUCAGGGUUGGGUUCUUGAGAAGGAGGCCCGAAGAAUUCGUCACCAUACCCAUGUUCGGCAAAGUACUUAUUGACGUUGGUAAAUGUACCGUAGUCGUUGUCGUUGUUGUCUGGAUCCUGUGCCAUAUGCAUGUCCGGAUCCUGUGCCAUAGGGAUGUCCGGCAUGUCCGGUAGCAUUGCGGCGGUCUUGCCAUGGCUUGGCGCCGGCACGACUGGCGGUGUUGUCUGUGGGGUGGUGUCCCCCGCCCCCAAACGAAUCUGGCUCUUCGGCCAAAGCAGGGGCCAGCUUACGAAGGCGCUGAGGGUCAUCACAUCAUCUUCGUCGGCCCUAGCGGGUCAAAUCGGAGGUAACAACUCGUCGCAGCCUGGCAGCACCCGAACCAGUUCAACCCAAUACACGGUGGGUGGCAUCGGAUUACCAUGGAACACGGGGUUGCCCUGCCCUUGGCGACAUCGAUCAACUCACCGCCCACGAAGUGUAGGAGAGUGCAUGGAACGUCGGCGGCACCCUGCGUAAACAUGUAGGGCGUCAGGGAUGCCCAGUCAAAGGCAAGUCAUCAGCCGAGAGGCUUAGUUACCGUGAUGGCGUCGAGCUCGGCUAAUGUCGAGGUACCACCAACGACGGGCAUGCAACUGACGGAGGGGCCGCUUGCUGCCGAGGUGCCGGCCAGCGUACACCCGGGUGCAUUAAGCUCCAAUGCCCGUGCCGGUGCCGGAGACACCAAUACCGCAUCCGCCGGAGACACCAAUGGCGCCGCAUGCGCGUUGUGCGAGUUGCUGGCCGUGAAGCUGGGAACCGGGGGCGGCCUCUGUUGGCCGCCCGCAAUCCACGUCUACAACCCCUGAAUCAAGGUAGGCACAAUGGCGGUGAGCGUCGUUCCCAGUUGUUGUUGCACUUGCUCUUGGACAAUCUUCGGAAUCCGCGCCACUUGUGCCUUGAGUUCUUGAACCUCGCGCGACUGGCUUUCCGAGCUGGUCUUUCUCUCCUUUCGCCCACCAGCGUUAUAGUAUGACGACCAUUUUGUGGACAAGCCUUUGCCGGCCACACAACCAGCUGACGACGGCUUACUGAGCUUAUCCUUGUUUUUCAUUACAUUCAACGCCCUAUUUAGAGUGCUGUCCCAAGGGGAGCUCUGAGACGACCCCGCGCUACUACUUUCAAUCUCAUGCGGAAGGAAUGUGAACCAUUUAGAAAUUUGACUUCAUUAAUUAGAAUGCAACCAUAUGGAGCUAAUUAUGCGAGGGUGUAUUCCUUACCAGAACACGCUCAAGCGCCUUGGUCUUCGGAUCCGUGGUAAGCUCCUUUGUUGCCGGGUCCUCCUUGUACCGGGCCCUGACAUAGUUCCUGGUCUGCUUGUCACGAUGUUUCUUGAAGCGGGGCGGUAGGCCUUGCUCAGCACGCUCCUCGUCCUCCUUGUCCUAUAUAGGCUCUGCCACUCUGUAACCGCUGGGACCGAGUUGGUGGACCCCUAGGUUCAAGUCUCGCAUUUCUUUCCCCCACUGACUUGAUUCCACGGUUGCGCUGCUCUCGCACUUGAUCUUGAACUCCUUGUAGUCAUCUUCGCUGAUCGAAGGAUUUUUCGCCUUGAUGUUCUCAUAACUAUCACCUUUGUCAAUCAUGCUCUUCACCGCGUUUCUCCAAGUAGACAGGGCCGUGCUCAUCCUCGUGAGGGUGGCACUGUUCACUUUAUUCCCUGAGAGGCGUGUGUUUGCAAAGUCAGUGGGGAGCUUGUAUCGUUCGUGCAGCUUUGUGAGAGGAGGCUGCGCAAAUUCCCUCGGUCCUUAUGCCUUAGGUUCUCGGUGUUGAUCGAGAUGGUGCUCCAGAGAAUGCAUCCGAACUGAACUGAGUACCCCUUGACUAAUUCUUUGGGCGCCGUUGGAUGCCCAUCGGAGUUCACUUCAGUAAAUUCCUCCUUGACGGUGCCGAGCACGUUCGGGCGCCGGUCCUUCCGUUGCCUCUUCGGUUGGCUGCCAUCUAUGCGUGUGCUGCCAUCAUCAGUGGUGGCAUCCUCGGCGGCACCAUCAGUGUUGUUAUCCCUGAUGCCACUAGGGGUUGUGUAGUCAGGAUCGGUGUCUUCCGCGGUGUCCUCAUAGCGGUGAGGUUCUUCCUCCAUCUCCUGGGACAGCUCCCAGAAUUGCUUUGCCCGAACCGCUGGCCUCAUCGUUGUGGGCCAUGUUUCGCUCUAAAUAGGAAAAAAGUUUGGUCAAAAAGUUGGUUAUUGUCAAGGAACAAGAUCAUGGUCUCAUCAUUUAGGGUUUGUCGACACCGAGGCAUCCUAAAAGCUAAGCUUUUAUCAUUUAGGGUUUGUCGAUGCCGAGGCACCCUAAAAUCCUAAGCUUUCAUCAUUUAGGUUUUUAUCGACACCGAGGCACCCUAAAAGCCAAGGUUUUAUAAUUUAGGGUUUGUCGACGCUGAGGCACCCUAAAUUCUAAGUUAAGUUUUCAUCAUUUAGGGUUUAUCGAUGCCGUGGCACCCUAGGUUGACCGAUAUAUAUGGGUAUCUUCUAAUAAUAUACCCUAUCAAGAAAAGGGAAGGAGAAUUCUAAGUUGGGCCUAAUCACUUGGCUCUAUUGCCACCUAUGGUUUAAUGCAGCAAGAAUAAAGGGGCAAUUGAUCUUACUUAAUUAAGUACUAAGAUACCCCGGCCCAUGCAUUAGUCGCAAGUACCCCAUAUGUCCUAUUUUUAGCAAAGUCAUGCUAAAAUUCACGGAAAAUUUCAGCAUGACCUUUGCUGAAAAUAGGACAUAUGGAGUACCCAAAUUUGCUGGAACGGAAGUUAAUCGACAUUCCGACAACUCAAGGGCCUCUCGGGGUACCUGCAAAAUCAUUAUCCCCGUGUAAUGAAGUCCCCAAUGGGUCAUUUCAGAAGAUCACAAGUAGCAUCAUCACAAGUACAACAUCAUACUGAUUUAGUUUACCAUCACAAGUAAAAUCAUUAUCCCAGAUUUUUUUAUCCCCAAGAAAGAAUAAAAGUAGUGUGAUGCAUCUACUGAUUUAGUUUACUGCCUUGUUAGCUUUUGUUGUUAUCAGGAGUAUCUCUUUCUUGUAAAUCCCUCCUAUGUGCAUGCACCUUGCUACCCACACCACCACAAAAUAAUACUAGAAUAAAAAACAUUACUAUGCCAAAGAAAGUGACUUCCAUAGCCACACGAAUUAAUUACUACUAGAUGGAGUACUCCUAACUAAGCUUGUAGUACAAGUGACAUGACAAGCAUACCAAACAGGCAACUAAACUGUUUUUUUACCAAAUAGGCAAAUAGUAUAUGCACACCAUGCACAGAGGGACAAAUCAGGAGUUCAGGACAUGGAGUCUCUACUCUCGAGCUCGAAUACACCAUCUUGAUCAGUAAAAUAAAAAAAAUAGUAAAUACAUAAAUUAAAAAAAUUGUUAAUUUGUUUGACAACAAACAUUGCUUAAUGUUCACCCUCAAACAUACUGUAAAUUUCCAUUAAAAAAUCCUGAUGCUUACACAAAUCUGAUGUUCACCCUCAAACUUACUUAGCAUGUAAGCUAAUUCAAGCUCCCAGCAGCAAUGGUCACAAGUGACAGGAGCUGUGCCUGCCACUAGGAUGAGCACUUUUAAUUUUUUGCUUCUUUUUGAGAUAGAAGCACUUUCAGUCUCAGAAACAAAGAUCAUAUAGCUUUAUAAAAUCAACUCUACAGGAAGUAUUCGUGUAAGGAAACAUUAAUAAGUAUCUAAGUGUUUUCAGCUCAUUUUAUACAAAAGACAAACAACAGCCCUUUUCUUUUGCACCGGAAGAAAAUGCUAGUACUAUGUGAUAAGCUUUAAAAAAUGGAGUACUUACAGCAACUGUGCAGGCAAUCAAUCCAGGCUUCUCCUGGUGAUCCAAAGCAACAAAGAAUAGAAGAAAAGCACCAAUAUACCAGGGAAUUGCAGCCAAGAAGAACCCUAGUAAGAACCUUCAAAACAAAACCAACCUAAAGUUUUUAAUAUGGAUUGGUUGUGCUUUCAUUUUAAAUUUGCAGGUAAGAACAAUGAACUUAUAGAAACUCCUUAAUAUGAAUAUUAUACCGAUGAUAAAAGAAGUGAGACAAGAAGUGUCUGCAUCCUUGAGUAGAUUCCUGGGACCUGAAGGUUGUUCACCCUGCUCCAUAUCAAAUAUUAUGUUGUAUUAGUAGCAAGUCGACAAGCCUCCAUACAUCAAGCCCUAAAUGAUGAAUGAACUGGCCAGAAAGAAUCAACAGAAAAUAUUCAUCAUUCAUUUCAGAGCUUCUUGUUCUUAGAUGUAAACUAACCUAUAGCUGGAAACUAAACAUAUAAAUGGUUGAAAUACAUAAUUCUAGCUGUAAACUAACCUAUAGCUGGAAGAAACUAACUAGAAAAAGUGAAACAUGGGAGGAACCUUCUGUCAGUUUUAAAGAAGCUGAUUUUUUUGAGGGGUAAGAAGAAGCUGAAUUGGCCAUUCUCCAUAGAAAUCAUACCAAUUCUAGCUACAUGUGCCGUUUGGAACACAAGGAAAAACUUCAUCUUCGAAGGCCUCCAACCAAAUCUCUAAAGAGCCAAGCGAAAAACUAAGCUUUCUUCUGCUUCCCCUAUGUACAACUCGUUCUUUUUAUUAAAACUAAUAAGAAUAUGCAAUAGGAAAACCUACAGCCAAAAGCUGAAACCUGAGAGGAACAUCUUUAACCAUGCGUGCACACAAAUCAGACACACACGUAAAAAUAAUGCACACACGGAGUGCAACUCUCUUUCUCAACCAACACAUGUCUACUCUUUCCAGGCACAAGGAAAGCCUCUCAAGCAAUUUGAUGAUAGUACAAAGAGAAAGUGAAGGCACACAUCUUCAACAAAUAUAUUUUUAGCUUUAAAUAUACAAAUCGUGACGCUGAAGAAAAUUAUCUAGCACAAAUAGAAACCUGUGGGAAACAUCUUCAAUCAUGCAUGUACACAAGUCACAAACGUAAAAGAUGCACACAUCAAACAAUGUGAGCAACCAAUGCAACUUUAUUGCUGAAUCAAGCAUCAGUUUUACCUUCCACAAAGAAAUUCGAUGAUACAACAGAAACUGAAGUUCAUAAGACACAAAGCAUAAAAUCAACUGUUGUGAUCUGUUAAAUUGCUUGUCACCUACAAGGGAAAGAGCAUACAACAAUAGACUAGGAAAGGAAGAUCAGGGUUCCCAUUUUGUUGUGCAUUAUCGUAGCUACACAACAUGUCUGCAACUACACCUAAAUCCUGUGCAUCUCUAAGCAUCUAAACAUUACAAAGACACUACUCGACAGGGGGCGGAGGAGGUGUGGGGCGCGGGAGGCAGCACGGGAGGCAGCACGGGGGACGGAGGCUGCCACAGCCUUAGCAUCGUGAGGCACGGCGGAGGGGCCGCCAGCGGGGAGAGAAACCUAGGGGGGAGGAGGGGAGGAGAGAGGAGGAAUCACCUAGAGGACGCCGGCGUCGAGGAGGCUAUGGGCAGCGGUCCAGAGGAAGGGGCCCGUGAUGUCGUUGUUGAGCCAGGGCCCGGAGUCGCCGUUGUCGGCAUCCUUGGAAGCCUUCUUGACCUUCCGAGCAGAAGAAGGCACGGGCGGUGAGAGGAGGAAGAGGAGAAGCUAGGGGGAUGGGGGAAGUGAGGGAAGGGACAUACGUGCUGGGGUGGGGNNNNNNNNNNNNNNNNNNNNNNNNNNNNNNNNNNNNNNNNNNNNNNNNNNNNNNNNNNNNNNNNNNNNNNNNNNNNNNNNNNNNNNNNNNNNNNNNNNNNNNNNNNNNNNNNNNNNNNNNNNNNNNNNNNNNNNNNNNNNNNNNNNNNNNNNNNNNNNNNNNNNNNNNNNNNNNNNNNNNNNNNNNNNNNNNNNNNNNNNNNNNNNNNNNNNNNNNNNNNNNNNNNNNNNNNNNNNNNNNNNNNNNNNNNNNNNNNNNNNNNNNNNNNNNNNNNNNNNNNNNNNNNNNNNNNNNNNNNNNNNNNNNNNNNNNNNNNNNNNNNNNNNNNNNNNNNNNNNNNNNNNNNNNNNNNNNNNNNNNNNNNNNNNNNNNNNNNNNNNNNNNNNNNNNNNNNNNNNNNNNNNNNNNNNNNNNNNNNNNNNNNNNNNNNNNNNNNNNNNNNNNNNNNNNNNNNNNNNNNNNNNNNNNNNNNNNNNNNNNNNNNNNNNNNNNNNNNNNNNNNNNNNNNNAUUGAAUAUGAAAAAAUAUCAUCAAAUUUGAAAAAAUAUUCAUGAAUUCAAAAAGUGCCCAUGAAAUUUAAAAAUAUUCAUGAGUUCAAAAAAUAUUAACAAAUUAAAUACUUUUUGUGAGUUAGAAAUUCAAUACCAUAAUAAAUAUAAAUAAAUAUUCAUGAGGACACUAGAACAGAAGAAAUAUCAUUUCAAUAUGUCGAAAUACAAUCAAGAAAUGAAGGAUACAAUUUAAAUACAAUCGAUCUUAGCGAGCUAUCUGUUCACAAUCUUCUUGCCCUUAUUUUUCGUAAAUGGAGUUCUUCUCUUGAACGGACGUCCUUUAGGUAGGGUGGUCCUGCUUCUUCUUGUGGUGUAUGCUGGUACUUCAUCGUCGUCGUCAUGUUCCAUCUUCGGGUCGCCGUACUUGUCGAAGUCUUGCUCAUUGGAGACUCCAUCCAUUCCGAUGAUCUUCCUUUUGCCUCUCCUCACGACAACACGACUGGGCUUUGACGGGUCGGUAAUGAAAGCAUUGGUCCACUUGGGAAGCCAGUACCCAUGGCUCCUUUUUGGCGAUGACGUUUGCGCCCGCGGUCUUGGAUUUGGCUUUGGUUGUAACCAUGAUGGUGAAAUACCGGUCUUCUUUUAGGACGCUCUUGGCUCAUCUAACACGGAACAUUGGGAUCUGCUCUCCAGCGUAGCUCAGCUCCCAGAUCUCCUCGAUCCUUCCGUAGUAUCUGUCCUUGUCGUUACCGGUGUAGGAUUCCAUUGUUACCCCGGAGUUCUGAUAACCAUCACUCUUCUUGUCCUUUCCCUCGGUGUAGAAUGUGUAGCCGUUGAUAUCGUACGCCUCAUACGUCAUCAGGUUGUGCUCGGCGCCCUAUGACAAGGCGAAUAUGAGUUGUUCUUCCGCAGAAGAAUCCUCAUGUAAAGGGUAUGAUAGAAGCUUCUACUUGAACCAACGCGUGAAACAUGAGUUGUGCUCUUUGAUUAUAUCUCCGUCCGUCCUCUGUUGGCCUCGGUCAUUGUACAUCUUCUCAAUAAAGGUUUUGUGCUCUACCACCCAAGGAUCGACCACGUCUAUGUGUUGUAGCGCGACUAGGUUUGCUCUUUCAAAGUCGGCGAGUCGACCCUCGAAGUCGACAUGCAUUUCGCGGCGACCCUCACGGUGACCCUAUCCAGCGAGCCUACCGAGGUGCCUGUUGACGGGCAGACCAACGGGGUUCUCGAUGCCUAGAUAAUUCAUGCAGUAGGAGAUGCAUUCUUCGGUCAGAAAGCCGCUGGCUAUGCUUCCCUCUGGACAUGACAUGUUGCGAACGUAUCCUUUGAUGACACCAUUCAUCCUUUCGAACGGCAUCAUGCUGUGCAGGAACGUCGGCCCGAGUUGGGUGAUAUCCUCCACGAUAUGGACCAGCAGUUGCACCAUAACGUCGAAGAAUGCGGGCGGGAAGUACAUCUCAAGCUCGCAUAGUAUCACCACGAUCUCUUCCUGUAGCCUUCUGAGUUGCCUCACGCUAACCGACUUCUGAGAGAUGACGUCGAAAAAGUUGCAUAGGCCAAAUAGCAUUUCACGGACGUGCGCGUCCAUGAUCCCAUGGAUUGCAACUGGAAGUAUCUACGUCAUCAGCAUGUGACAGUCGUGAGACUUCAUCCCGCUGAACUUCUGCUUCGCUGAGUCUAGGUAUCUGAUUAUCUUCCCCGCGUAACCGUAAGGAAGUUUUACUCCUAUGAGGCAGGUGAAAAACUGAUCGAUCUCCUCCUGACUUAGAGUGAAGCACGCGGGAGGGAAGUCAUUUCCGGUCUUCUUGGCCUUUUUUCCUUUGCGACGACUUUCCGUGUCCUGCUUCGCCUCAUCAUCAUCAUCAUUAGCGUGAAACUCCUCCCUGAUGCCCAUUGAUUUCAAGUCUGCCCUUGCUUUCGUCCCAUCUUUGGUCCUCUCUGGCAUGUUGAGCAGGGUACCAAGCAGACUCUCGCACACAUUCUUCGGGAUAUGCAUGACAUCAAGGUUGUGAGGCACAUGGUGGAUCUUCCAGUACGGCAAGUCCUAGAAAACAGACCUCGUUUUCCAUACCUUCAGCAGCAGCUCUGGCGCCUUUUGGUUCUUUCCCGGCAGUGCGCAAUCUUUCCAAUAUUUCAACAGCUCGUCUAUUUCCUCACUACUCCUUGUACGCGGGCGUCUUCGGGGUUCGGUUUCACCAUCGAUCAGAUCCUUGCGUUUCCUCCAUGAGUCAUCAUCGCGAAGCCACCUUCGAUGUCCUAUGAACACGGUUUUCGUAGAACCGGGAUCUCUAUCUAGCUGGCGAUACGUUGUGUCAUCCAUGCACCUGACGCAUCCAGAAAAUCUGUGGACCACCUGCCCCGCGACAUAUCCGUAACCGAGAUAGUCCUGCACCGUCGUGAGAAGUGAGGCUCUCAUAGGGAAAUAUUCUUUCUUUGCGGCGUCCCACGUAUUGGCUGGCGUUUUCCACAGCGUGUGUAGCUCCUCUUUCAGCAGCCCCAGAUACGGAUUGAUGUCGUUCCCUGGUUGUUUCGGCCCUUCAAUUAGCAUACUCAUGUGAAUGUACUUCCUCUUCAUGCACAGCCAGGGGGGAAGGUUGUACAUCCACACAAACACAGGCCAAGUGCCAUGUGUGCUUCUCUGGCUACCAAACAGAUUGACUCCAUCGGUGCUUGCACCCAGCACGAUGUUCCUUGGAUCGUUCCCAAAUUCUGGGUGUUCGAAGUUCAACGCUUGCCACUGGCUCCCAUCCUUAGGGUGACUCAGCAUCCCGUCUUUUUUAUUUAUCUCCGGAUCAUUUGCGUCAUCUUCUCGCUUCUUCUCCUCCCUAUCCAUGUGCCAACGCAGGAGCUUUGCUACCUUAGGGUUCGUGAAAUACCGCUGCAGACGAGGAGUGAUCGGAAAGUACCACACCACUUUUUGAGGAGCUUUCUUCCUUUUCUUGUAUCGAGUGACGCUGCACACCGGACAUAUGGUAGACUCCGCGUGCUCGUCCCGAUAAAUGAUGCAAUUGUUCAUGCACACAUGGUAUUUCACAUGCGGUAAAUCCAGAGGACACACAAUUUUCUUCGCCUCCUCGAAACUGGUUGGGCACUUGUUCCCCUUGGGAAGAGUUCGUGCCAGAAUGACAUGUUCUUGUCGAAGCAAGCGUCGGUCAUUUUGUGUUUUACCUUCAUCUCCAGAGCCAUGAGCGUUACUUUCAGGCGGGUAUCCUCGGGCCUGCAUCCUUCAUACAAUGGAGUAACCGUGUCUAUCUCCAGUUGAUCCAGCUUGGCUUUCUCUCGGGCGGCAGCUCUUGCGUUAUCCGUCUGCUUGAGAAGCAGCUCUUGAAUAUGAGGGUCCUGCACCCAGCCCAUCGAUGGUCCAUCGUCGUCUUCUCCGGCAUCUUCAUCUUCAUGAUCAUGCCCUUCGUCUGCUCCGGCAACUUCCUCAUCAUCAUGUCCGGCAUCUUCUACAUGAUGACUAUGUACUGCAUCUACUUCGUGAUCAUGUCCUGGAGAUUCUUCGUCUUCUCGCCCGCCCUCACCGCAGUUGUCUUGCUGCCUUCCUCAUUUCUUGCUCGGCCCCCAUGGACGACUUCAUAAUCAUCUUCAUCACCUUGCCACCGAUAGCCAUCCAUGAAACCACGCAAGAGCAGGUGGUCCCACACCUGUACGGAAUCCAGGUCCAUAAGGCUUCUCAGCUUGCAUCUUCGACACGGACAUCUUAUCUCCGUCUCGUUCUUUUGAAGCAUCUCGGCCUUCGCAGAGCUCAAAAACCUAUUCACGAUGCCUUCGGUCAUCGUGCGGACCAUGGUCGCCUACGGGGUAGAGCAAAACGAUAUUUUAGAACCAAGAAAAAAUUUGGCAUGACUUUGCCUAAAAAUAGGACAAAAAAGAAUGCAUAGUGCCAAAAUUCUCGCCGAAACGGAAAUGAAUCAACAUUCCGGCAAAAUAUUGGCAACUAUCGCAUUUCAAAUACCGGUACCUGCAAACACAAACAUGUAUGCAACACCACAAACAUAUGCAACACCACAAACAUACAUAGAUCUAGCUAGGCCAUAAAAAGUGCAUGUGCACGUUGUUGGAGGGAGAAAAAAAGUAGAUCUACAACAUAAUGAAAGCUUUCCCCUUACAUACCUAUCAAAAAAGGUAAUUUAACCACUUAAUUUGGAUGAAUCUAUGGUGCAAAUGAGGUGAGGAGGAGGAGGCAGACGAGACAAGCUUGGAGGAGGAGGUGGAGAGAAUGAAGUGGGGAAAGUGAGUGUGUAGGUGGCUGUCCAAAAUAUCUAGCUGGUCUCACGUUACUAAUGGCGCACCACCUACAAAUGCACCAUUAGUAACCCUGGUUACUAAUGGCGCACCAGCUGGUGGUGCGCCAUUAGUAGUUUUGCAAAAAAAAAUUGAUAGUAGUGGCGCACGGGGUGACUGGUGCGCUAUUACUAGUUAAAACUAGUAAUGGCGCACUGAGCCUUGGUCCACCAUUAGUAUUUUUGGAAAAAUAAUAAUAAAAAAAAAUUGUUAGUAGUGGCACGCCAUUAGUGUCUAUCACACUAAUGGUGCACCAAUACAUGGUGUGCCACUGCUAUAUAGUAGUGGUGCACCACAUGUCUGGUGCGUCAUUAGUGUCCAUAUUAUCUAUAGCCCUUUUCCUAGUAGUGCUAGAUGGAGACAACGACACAUGUUGAUGUUGUAGAUAGUGAAAAUUGUCUUCAUUCAGUAGUGGGGAGAAACAAGUGGGAUCUUCAUUUUACAUUUCUCCUGACCACCAAGAUGUUGUCUUCUCACUCAUGUUAAUUACUAUCGCAGAGUUCCUGCAUGACUUGAGAGUUGAUAAUCUUCAAUCAGUUUUGGAUGCAUAUAGUUCCCUUUAUCCCUAGAGUGAGUCUAGGUUAUCGAAUACACAAGAAGUCAUGCCUUGGGAAGGUGAUUUCUGCAAGACUUUGUUAUAAAAUAGUUGCAGUUUUCGCUGACCAAUUUGCACAAUUUAUAUUAAGAAAAAAUAAUAAAGAAAUGUGACAGGGGUGUUUCACUCGCAACCAUAUACACACGCUCGAGAUAUGCGGGACAUUUCAAUUGAAUGCACCCAAUUAUGAUCAAAUGAAAUUAAAGCUACUUGCCGUACUCUAACCACCAAAGCAAAAGCAUGAUUUUGUUUAUCCUGCAAGUACUAUGAAGCGACGGAGUUACAAUCUUAUAUGAAUGCCAUAAGUGCCCAGGCAGAAGAACCAAGGCCUGAAAUUGCGACAUCAACAAUAUCAUGUGCAAAUGUGCAAAUUGUGUUGUAGAUGUACCUGUCACAAGUGUCCUCAUGGAAAUAUCGUCUAAGUCACUAGAUGGAAACUAACAAUGCGAUUGCGGAAGGGCACACUAUCCAAGAACCUAAUGCUUCUCUACAAAUUGUAGUGCUGGAGGGCAUUGCUCGAAAAAUUCCAUCUACACACAGUGAGGUCACCGCUAGAGCAAAUGGCAAAUAUAGCAUAAGAACUUUAUAAAUCUAAUUUCUUUCAACAGUUUUUGCUUGGUCGUAUAAUUUUAGGGACUUCCUUCCUAAAGACGCUUUCAUGCACAAAAUAAAGUAGGUCACUUUCUUCUUCAGGGAUUCACGUUCCUUUAUAUAGGUCACUUUCCGCCGGCCAUAUUUGGCAUCAUAGAAGAAACAAAACUGCUGAAAUAGAAGGACAAGACUUGUGGACACUGAUUACAUGUUAUAAAUAGUGACGAUUAUCCAUUCACAACACAACCUAGUUCUUUAAUGUCAGGCGGCCGUUAGUUUCACGUCCGCCAUGGAUCACGUAAACUAGAUGCUACCAACCACAGAACCAAACAUGCACACAUCACUUUCUCAUCCGCCAUGGAUCACGUAAACUAGAUCCUACCGACCAAAACAUGCACGCAUUACUCCAUGGUUACCAUCUGAGAUCACACACAUUAUCGUGACAAACAGAUUCACCAGAGACGAAAGGGGGGGGGGGGGGAUCGUUCUGUCUGUUCAAGCGCCCACCUUGGUCGCAGACGUUGUUGUCGCCCUUGUCGCUUUCGAGGUCGUUCAACAAGUCCUGGCCAUGGUUGUUGUGGAGGGGCGCAAAGGAGAACCCAGGGGCCGACAGGGGGAACCCUAGAUUUCAAUUGCCUCAUCGCAAGGUAGAUGCGUGCUGGGGAGUUUAGGAUGGGUGGAUGCAUUGUUGAGUCACUGCCAGAAACGCGACUAAGCCUGUAGGCCAAUAGCGGAUAGGAAAAAAAGUACUAAUAUCGUCAGAAAAAUCAUUCCUAUAGGAUAACAGACAACCAUAGCCCACCAGGAAUGAAAUCACAUGCUAGCAAUUUGAAUCGGAAGGUACAAUUUUAUUAAUGUUAUAAACAAUGAACUCAGUGAAACUGCUCGGUGGAUCGUAUACAUACUAAGCUAUACAAACAAGUUGUGUGAACUCAUUGGAAAUUCAAUGAUGAUUUUAAUGUGGCACUAUGAUUAACCACAUACUUUUAGAUAAGUUUCCUAUGUGGACUAGUAAGAUCCUUAUUGUAAUAGACAGGAAGAAUGCUUCUAUGCAGGCGAUGGUGCUAGAGGGCACUGCUGGUAAAAAUGUCAUAGACACACAUUGAGGUCACUGCUAGAAAAAAUGGCAUAUACAUUAGUAGCACUGUACUAUCAAAAGAUGUGGAAGCACUUGACCAAUCACACAAAGAUGAACCUGAUCUAGAUUCAUGUGCUAGGGUUAACUUCAUCAUCGAUGAUAUCAAUCCUUAAGGGGGUCCUCCUAAAUACUAGGAACAAGAGUAUAACGUGUACUUGACUAAGUCAAUGAACUAUAAAUGUUAACACUCUUCUCGUAGUGGUGCUGGGAUUCACUCCUGGAAGGGCUAAUCUCACCUAAGUCUCACGGAACUGACUUUCGGACACUGCUUCAAGUUGCAUACUGUUAAGAACUUUGUUUUAUGCUGCCAUGCUAUGAUGUGAACUGUCGCCAUUGCAGUGGUGUUUUGCACUGCCGGCGCUAUAGAUUUUGCUGAUCUUCAACCCCCGAGUGCCUCAAAUUUUGCCAAAUAUUUGGUUCCAAUAUUGCCCUAUCAUGCCAUGUACUGAUCUCAGCGGAGUAUGUUGCAAUCGCUCGGAAACUCAUUGUCAGGGACCAGGACGAGGAGCUGCUCCUCUGCAAUAGCUGUGACCGCGGACGGAACACCUUCUGCCUCCUCCCCGUCGUCCCGCUGGGCUCCUGGCUCUGCCCUGACUGCGUCCCGACCUCCAUCAUCCGUGCGUCCCUCCGCCGCCGGUUGAUAUCGCCAUUCCCGCUCCCCACCCCUUUCUGUUCAUGCUCGUUCGUCUGCCGUGAAUUUCAUCUCAUCUCAUCCACUUAUUAAUUGAAUUUCUACGGGGUUUCCCAUUGAAGCAGAGCAAGAUCGUGGAUUUCUUCUGGAUCGAGAAGGCCACAGAGGGCGGCGCCGUCGGGCCGGCAAAGUGCAGGCUUUCUCAGGGUAAUUUUCUUAUCUCUGAAAUUUUAAGUCGCAUGAAUUUUGCUCAUCGCAUGGCUUAAGCUAGGGAGUCUGUGAUGAGGAAUCAUCACUCAAUUGUUACACAUACUGCAUUACGAUUUAAUGAUGAUGCAAAUAAUUCAUAUGGUUCAAAUAGUUCAUCUGAAAUACUAUGACCGAUUCAUUCGUUGUACUCUAUGUGGGUGUUGUGUGUUGAUUCAUUAGUUUAUUCGUUCGUUGGUUGUUUUGUUUUGCUAUGCUGAUCAGUCUGACACCGCAGUAUCCUGCAUAUGUCGCUGUCACAGUGGAUUAGAAUUUAUAGGUUGAAAUAUCACCACAGGAAAUGCGCGGGAAAGCUACCGCCGCCAGAAUUGCGCAGGAAAUCCAUCACUGUUGGAAAUACGCGGGAAAACAUUGUAAAAAAUGAAUUUGAUCUUAAUAGCACUCUUGUAGUAGGAUUGUGUUAUUGAAGUAGGUUGGUCAAGUGUGUACGGAUUAAUUGACUUCCAUUGAUUUGUACACAUGUAUAUCAGGAUGAUUCACAGGGAUACGUGCUACGUCUUGAGCUUGUGUUGGUUUUCCCCGAAGAGGAGAGGGUGAUGCAACAAGUGUAGCAUAAGUAUUUACCUCAGUUUUGAGAACCAAGGUAUCAAUCCAGUAGGAGGCUCCUCAAAAGUCCCACGCACCUACACAAACAAACUGAGAACUCGCAACCAACGCGAUAAAGGAGUUGUCAAUCCCUUCACGGCCUCUUGCGAAAGUGAGAUCUGAUAGAGAGAUAAUAAUAUUUUUUUGGUAUUUUGUAAUAUAGAUGCAAAAAGUAAAGAUGCAAAUAAAAGUAGAUUGAAAGCAAAUAUGAUAAGAGAUAGACUCGGGGGGCAUAGGUUUCACUAGAGGCUUCUCUCAAGAUAGCAUAAGUAUUACGGUGGGUGAACAAACUACUGUCGAGCAAUUGAUAGAAAAGCGCAUAGUUAUGAGAUUAUCUAGGCAUGAUCAUGUAUAUAGGCAUCACGUCCAUAACAAGUAGACCGACUCCUGCCUGCAUCUACUACUAGUACUCCACACAUCGACCGACUCCUGCCUGCAUCUAGAAUAUUAAGUUCAUAAGAACAGAGUAACGCAUUAAGCAAGAUGACAUGAUGUAGAGGGAUAAAUACAUGCAAUAUGGUAUAAACCCCAUCUUGUUAUCCUCGAUGGCAACAAUACAAUACGUGUCUUGCAACCCUUUCUGUCAGUGGGUAAGAACACCGCAAGAUUGAACCCAAAGCUAAGCACUUCUCCCAUGCCAAGAAAGAUCAAUCUAGUAGGCCAAACCAAACUGAUAAUUCGAAGAGACUUGCAAAAAUAACUCAAUCAUACAUAAAAGAAUUCAGAGAAGAUUCAAAUAUUAUUCAUAGAUAAACUUGAUCAUAAACCCACAUUCAUCGGAUCUCGACAAACACACCGCAAAAAGAAAUUACGUCGAAUAGAUCUCCACAAGAGAGGGGGAGAACACUGUAUUGAGAUCCAAAAAGAGAGAAGAAGCCAUCUAGCUAAUAACUAUGGACCCAUAGGUCUGUGGUAAACUACUCACAACUCAUCGGAGGGGCUAUGGUGUUGAUGUAGAAGCCCUCCGUGGUCGAUUCCCCCUCCGGCAGAGUGCCUGCGAAGGCUCCAAGAUGAUAUCUCGCGGAUACAGAAUGUUACAGCGGUGGAAAUUGUGUUUCGUGGUGCUCCUGGAUGUUUUCGGGGUCCGUAGGUAUAUGUAGGAGGAAGAAGUACAUUGGUGGACGCCCGAGGGGCCCACGAGACAGGGGGGCGCGCCCUAGGGGGGGGGCCCUCCUAUCUCAUGGGGCCCUCGGAGCUUUUUUGACUUGCACUCCAGGCUCUCCGGAUCAGAUUUGUUCCAAAAAUAACGCUCCCGAAGGUUUCAUUCCGUUUGGACUCCGUUUGAUAUUCCUUUUCUUCGAAAUACUGAAAUAGGCAAAAAAACAGCAAUAUGGGCUGGGCCUCCGGUUAGUAGGUUAGUCCCAAAAAUGAUAUAAAUGUGUAGAAUAAAGCCCAUAAACAACUAAAAGGGGUAAUAUAAUAGCAUGGAACAAUCAAAAAUUAUAGAUACGUUGGAGACAUAUCAAGCAUCCCCAAGCUUAAUUCCUGCUCGUCCUCAAGUAGGUAAAUGAUAAAAAGAGAAUUUUUGAUGUGGAAUGCUACCUAGCAUAAUUCAUAAUGUAAUUUUCUUCAUUGUGGCAUGAAUGUUCAGAUCCAAAUGAAUACAAAAUAAAAGUUCAUAUUGACAUAAAAAAUAGUAACACUUCAAGCAUACCAAUCAAAGUAAUUAUGUCUUCUCAAAAUAACAUGGCAAAAGAAAGUUCAUCCCUACAAAAUCAUAUAGUUAGGCUAUGCUUCAUUUUCGUCACACAAAGAUGUUCCCAACUUCUAUACCCCCAAUGACAAGCCAAGCAAUUGUUUCAUACUUAAAUAAUCUCAAACUUUUUCAACCUUCACGCAAUACAUGAGCGUGAGCCAUGGAUAUAGCACUAUGGGUGGAAUAGAAUAUGAUGAUGGGGAUUGUGCGGAGAAGACAAAAAAGGAGAAAGUCUCACAUUGACGAGGAUAAUCAACGGGCUAUGGAGAUGCCCAUCAAUUGAUGUCAACAUGAGGAGUAGGGAUUGCCAUGCAACGGAUGCACUAGAGCUACAAAUGCUCAACAAAGAAAAACUAGUGGGUGUGCACCCAACUUGCUUGCUCAUGAAGACCUAGGGCAUUUGAGGAAGCCCAUCGUAGGAAUAUACAAGCCAAGUUCUAUAAUGAAAAAUUCCCACUAGUAUGAAAAAGAUAACUUAUGAGACUCACUACAUGAAAAACAAGGUGCUACUUUGAAGCACAAGAUAUGAGACUCACUACAUGAAAAACAAGGUGCUACUUUGAAGCACAAGUGUGGAAAAAGAGAUAGUAACAUUGCCCCUUUUAUUUAUUUUCUUUAUUUUCUUUUUUUUGUUCUUUUUUUUAUUUUUUUUCCUUUUUUUUAUUUUGGGUAUUUUUUUUCUUUUUGGCCUUUCUUUUUUCUUCUUUGGGCAAUGUUCUAAUAAUGAUGAUCAUCACACUUCUAUUAAUUACAACAUAAGAAUUACAACUUGAAAUUAGAACAAGAUAUGACUCUAUAUGAAUGCCUCCGGCGGUGUACCGGGAUGGUGCAAUGAAUCAAGAGUGACAUGUAUGAAAAAUAAUGCAUGGUGGCUUUGCCACAAAUACGAUGUCAACUACAUGAUCAUGCAAUGGCAAUAUGACAAAAGUAAAGUAUGUCAUGAACAUGAAGAACGGAACGGUGGAAAGUUGCAUGGCAAUAUAUCUCGGAAUGGCUAUGAAAAUGCCAUAAUAGGUAGGUAUGGUGGCUGUUUUGAGGAAGAUAUAAGGAGGUUUAUUUGUGAUAGAGCGUAUCGUAUCACGGGGUUUGGAUGCACCGGCGAAGUUUGCACCAACUCUCAAGGUGAGAAAGGGCAAUGCACGAUACCGAAGAGGCUAGCAAAGGCGGAAAGGUAAAAGUGCGUAUAAUCCAUGGACUCAACAUUAGUCAAAAGAACUCAUAUACUUAUUGCAAAAAUUUAGAAGUCAUCAAAAAUCAAGUACUACGCGCAUGCUCCUAGGGGGAUAGAUUGGUAGGAAAAGACCAUCGCUCGUCCCCGACCGCCACUCAUAAGGAUGCACAAGCCAAGUACACUUCAUGUUUCAAAUUUGUUACACAACUUUAACCACACGUGCAUGCUAAGGGACUUGCUAACUUCAACACAAGCAUUCUUUGAAUUCAUAAUCACCCAACUAGCAUGACUUUAAUAUCACUACCUCCAUAUCUCAAAACAAUUAUCAAGUAUCAAGUUGAUCAUAGCAUCCAGUUCACUUCCUAUGAUAGUUUUUAUUAUACCCAAGUUGGAUGCUCAUCAUUCUAGGACCAACUUUAUGAUAAUAGCAAAUACCAUGCUGUUCUAAAAGACUCUCAAAAUAAUAUAAGUGAAGCAUGAGAGACUAGCAAUUUCUUCAAAAUUAAGACACCACCGUGCUCUAAAAGAUAUAAGUGAAGCACUAGAGCAAAAACUAUCAAGCUCAAAAGAUAUAAGUGAAGCACAUAGAGUAUUCUAGCAAAUUCUAAUCAAAUAGGCUUAUCCCAAAAGGUGUAUACAGCAAGGAUGAUUGUGGUAAACUAAAAAGCAAAGACUAAUAUAAUACACGAUGCUCCAAGCAAAACACAUAUCAUGUGGUGAAUAAAAAUAUAGCUCCAAGUAAAGUUACCAAUGAACGGAGACGAAAGAGGGGAUGCCUUCCUGGGGCAUCCCCAAGCUUAGGCUUUUGGCUAUUCUUGAAUAUCUUGGGGUGCCAUGGGCAUCCCCAAGCUUAGGCUCUUGCCACCCUUUAUUCCAUAGUCCAUAAAAGCUUUACCCAAAACAUGAAAACUUCACAACACAAAACUCAACAGGAAAUCUUAUAAGCUCCGUUAGUGAAAGAAAACAAAACCACCACAUAAGGUACUGCCAUGAAAUCAUUCUUUAUUUAUUUUGGUGUUAAACCUACUGUAUUCCAACUUCUUUAUGUUUCAUAAACUAAUUUACUAGCCAUAGAUGCAUUGAAAUAAGCAAACAACACACGAAAAACAGAAUCUGUCAAAAACAGAACAGUCUGUAGCAAUCUGUUGGUAACGCAAACUUCUGGAACUCUAAAAAUCCUACAAAAAUAGGAAGUCCUGGAAAAUUUGUCUAUUGAACAGAAUCAAAAAGAACCAACGCAAAAGCACGUUCCUGUGAUUUAACAAAAUUAUAUUCGUGCGCGCAAAGUUUCUGUUUUUCAGCAGAAUCAAAUCAACUAUCAUCGUAGGUUAUCCUAUAGGUUCUACUUGGCACAAACACUAAUAAAAACACAUCUAAACAGAGAGUAGAUGCAAGAUUAUUCCUAAACAGGAGCAAAAACAAAAAACAUAAAGAAAAAUUGGGUUGCCUCCCAACUAGCGCUAUCGUUUAACGCCACUAGCUAGGCAUAAAAGCGGAGAUAGAUCUAACUAGUGCCAUCUUUAGCACUAAAUUCCUCAACAGAGCACUUAUAAUCUUUAGGAGGUUCUCCCUCUUCAGCAAUGAUUAAACCUUUAGGAAAAAAUUCAAGAAAUUCGUUUGUAGCAAAAGGUUCCUUAACGAUAGAGAGACAAUUGGGAUGAAUACUUAUGGAUUUGAGGUCCACGUCUCCCUUACUAGAAGUUUCACCCUUAUCUUUAGGAACAUAAAUAAGCUAGGUGGUUUUUGUAGGGUGUUUUGGAGUGUUUUUUAUGGGAGAAAAUGCUGAACAUAAGUUGGUAAUUAUAUCCUCAAGUUUACCAAUUCUAGCAGAAUCAAGAUCUAUUUUUUCUUUAACUAUAGGUUUUUUCUCUUUAAGAUUUUUCAAAGUGACUCCAACCCUAGAUUCAUAUUGAGUGAUAACAUUAUGAAUCUUUUUAUCUAAAUUUUCAACCAACUCAACAGUGGCAAUUUUGUUUUCAAUAAUAUCAAGCCGUUGCAUAAUGUGUUCUAAACUUAAAACAGUUCCAUUGACCAAAAGAGGUGGAGAGCCAAACAAAUCUAACAUAGCAUUAUAAGCAUCAAACGUAUGGCUACUCAAGAAAUCACCUCCGGCGACAGUAUCAAGAACACAUCUAUUCCAAGGAGUGAUUCCUACAUAAAAAUAGCGGAGAAGAACGGAAGUGGAAAGCUUCCUAGUAGAUCUAUUUUGAGCAUUGCAAAUUCUAUGCCAAGCAUCUUUUAAAUUUUCUCCCUCCCUUUGUUUAAAAUUGAGGAUUUCAUGUUCGGGAGUAAUGACGAGGAUAGGAAGACUAGCCAUAAUGACGGAGCACACGAGCAAACACACGGGCAACAGAAAAAGGCAAGCAAAAAGAGAGGAGGAUAUUGGGAAAGAGAGGGCGAAUAAAACGGCAAGGGUGAAGUGGGGGAGAGGAAAACGAGAGGCACAUAAUGUAAAUGCGAGGGAGAUGGGUUUGUGAUGGGUACUUGGUAUGUCUUGACUUGAGCGAAGACCUCCCCGGCAACGGCGUCAGAAAUCCUUCUUGCUACGUCUUGAGCUUGCGUUGGUUUUCCCCGAAGAGGAGAGGAAGAUGCAGCAAGUGUAGCGUAAGUCUUUCCCUCAGUUUUGAGAACCAAGGUAUCAAUCCAGUAGGAAGCUCCUCAAAAGUCCCACACACCUACACAAACAAACUGAGAACUCGCAACCAACGCGAUAAAGGGGUUGUCAAUCCCUUCACGCCCUCUUGCAAAAGUGAGAUGUGAUAGAGAGAUAAUAAUAUAUUUUUGGUAUUUUGUAAUAUAGAUGCAAAAAGUAAAGAUGCAAAUAAAAGUAGAUUGAAAGAAAAUAUAAUAAGAGAUAGACCCGGGGGCCAUAGGUUUCAGUAGAGGCUUAUCUCAAGAUAGCAUAAGUAUUACGGUGGGUGAACAAAUUACUGUCGAGCAAUUGAUAGAAAAGCGCAUAGUUAUGAGAUUAUCUAGGCAUGAUCAUGUAUAUAGGCAUCACGUCCAUAACAAGUAGACCAACUCCUGCCUACAUCUACUACUAUUACUCCACACAUCGACCGACUCCUGCCUGCAUCUAGAGUAUUAAGUUCAUAAGAACAGAGUAACACAUUAAGCAAGAUGACAUGAUGUAGAGGGAUAAACACAUGCAAUAUGAUAUAAACUCCAUCUUGUUAUCCUCGAUGGCAACAAUACAAUACAUAUCUUGCAACCCUUUCUGUCACUGGGUAAGAACACCGCAAGAUUGAACCCAAAGCUAAGCACUUCUCCCAUGCCAAGAAAGAUCAAUCUAGUAGGCCAAACCAAACUGAUAAUUCAAAGAGACUUGCAAAGAUAACUCAAUCAUACAUAAAAGAAUUCAGAGAAGAUUCAAAUAUUAUUCAUAGAUAAACUUGAUCAUAAACCCACAAUUCAUCGGAUCUCGACAAACACACCGCAAAAAGAGAUUACAUCGAAUAGAUCUCCACAAGAGAGGGGGAGAACAUUGUAUUGAGAUCCAAAAAGAGAGAAGAAGCCAUCUAGCUAAUAACUAGGGACCCCUAGGUCUGUGGUAAACUACUCACAACUCACCGGAGGGGCUAUGGUGUUGAUGUAGAAGCCCUCCGUGGUCGAUCCCCCCUCCGGCAGAGUGCCGAUGAAAGCUCUAAGAUGAGAUCUCGCGGAUACAGAAGGUUACAGUGGUGGAAAUUGUGUUUCGUGGUGCUCCAGGAUGUUUUCGGGGUCCGUAGGUAUAUAUAGGAGGAAGAAGUACGUUGGUGGACGCCCGAGGGGCCCACGAGACAGGGGGCGCACCCUAGGGGGGGGCGCCCUCCUAUCUUGUGGGGCCCUUGGAGCUUUCUUGACUUGCACUCCAGGCUCUCCGGAUCAGGUUUGUUCCAAAAAUAACGCUCCCGAAGGUUUCAUUCCGUUUGGACUCCGUUUGAUAUUCCUUUUCUUUGAAAUACUGAAAAAGGCAAAAAAAAAGCAAUAUGGGCUGGGCCUCCGGUUAGUAGGUUAGUCCCAAAAAUGAUAUAAAUGUGUAGAAUAAAGCCCAUAAACAUCAAAAAGGGGUAAUAUAAUAGCAUGGAACAAUAAAAAAUUAUAGAUACGUUGGAGACGUAUCAAUUCGUCGCAUGUAUAUCCUGUUCGUGAUCUGACUUGCACUCAUUGAGCCAUAAAAAGCCGCCACCUUUUGUGGUUUAUUUAAAAUAGGACUGAUUACGUGUAGCGUUCACUUCUAAUGGGAGACAAUAUAUAUAUGAAAAAUAUAUCUUGUAGGGCGUUGUUGUAUGUCGAUUCAUGAAUUGUUCUGUUUAGCGUGACUAAUCGUCUGGCAUAUCUUGUAGGAAAUGAUUUGCUACACAUGGUGGUAGCUACGGACGACCCUGAUUUUUAUCUCUAAUUAUUUUGAUAAAUUAUUUUGAACAAUGAAAUAUAACUUUAUAACGAAAAUAUCGUGACUUACAACCAGCCAUGCAAGCAAACGGGCAAUUAUGUCAAAAAGUCGAGCAAAAAGACUGAGAGAAGUGAGAAAAGACCCUUUCUGCACAACGAAAAGACACUCGAAUCUGAAAGGUAAUAAUAAGACAAAAAGAAGUGAAAAAAGUCAUUUCUAUACAACAACAAAAGUGCACUUGUGCCAAUGCCAAAGGAAACCCGACACCUCAUAUAUUAAAAUUUAAAAGAGGGUCUUAUGCCAGACGGUGUGUAGCUGCCACCAUGCGUGCGUAGCUACCACCAUGCAUAGGAAAUCGCCUCUCAUCUCUCCAAUCGUAGUAUCCUGCAUAUAGCUCAUUGUCCAGGCGGAUACAUAUAUUAAGGAUCUGACAUUCUUAACUAAAUACAUUAGCGAUGUUGAUUAUUUAAAGAAAAGGGAAAAUGAUGGCUGUGAUAGUAUAAUGACCCUUCUAUCACAAGUGGAUCCUUCCCAGAAGCUUGUUAUCUGCCCUGACAAACGUGGAAACAUCGCCUGCUUUAUUAAUGGCAUCAACAACCACACUCCGUAAGUACUCGCUGCCUAUCCUUAUGAAUUUGCAUGUGUUAUAAGCAUUACUUAUGCCACUCUAAUAUUGUCCAAUUCCUACAGUGAUGGAAAGAAAAAGCAGAACGUCAAGUGUGUGAGGUACGACAUCGAUGACGAGUGCCAUGUCUUGCUGGUCGCCUGCCGUGAUAUAGCUCGUGGUGAGAAGCUGUACUACGACUACAACGGGCAUGGGUAUGCAUACCCAACACAUCAUUUUGUCUAACUCCCCCAAUAGUUCUGACCUGCCCAGCAUCAAGGAGUCUGGGCGAUUAAUAGCGGCACUUUCAGCAUUGCCGCUGAAAUCCAGUAACUUAUUACAGUUCAUUUGCCAGAAGAGGUCCCCGAUGGGGAACAAUAUACAUGCUGAUGUUGUUAGUAUCUAGUAGUGAAAACAAUCUUCAUUAGCUGUGGAGAGAGACAAGUGGGAUCUUCUUUUUCUUUUUCUCCCGCGCUCCCAAGAUGCCGUCGUCUUAUUCAUAUUCAUUGUUGUUGUGGAGUUCCUGCUCAACUUGAGUCUUUUUCGGGGAUUCAUGCUCCUUUCUAUAGGAGUAAAUAUCUAUCUUCCCCUGUCUCUCUCUGUUGAAUGGUUAAGUAGUUGUUGUGUCCCAAUUAGUGGUACAUUUGAAACUGGAAGAGAAAUGUUUCACCCCAUUUGUUGGGGAAUUGUUCUCUAUGUUCAGUUAUUUCGGAUCGUGAAAUAUGCUUUCCCUAUUGGUGCUGUGGUUUUCUUUUACUUUGUUAUUAUUGCCCUAUCGCUGCUGGGUAUUUUAUUUAUUUGUUCUUUUGGCACUUCCCAACUUUCAGAAGCCGUGGCAAGCUACCAGCAGUGAUCUUGAACUUCCUUGCCUUUCUAACCUCUUGAAGUUGAUCCCCAACUAACUUCAGAACUAUAUGAAUUCUUAAAAUGAAAUCCAGUGCUGCUGAUUUCGCCAAGAAAAGUUCUUGCAUAGAAUGUAUCCAAUGCUACUGUGUAUGUGUUUAGAUCAUACUAUGCUAUGAACCCAUAACUUGUCAACUAAAAAGUUACCAAAUGUAUAAUUGAUUUGACACCAUAGAAAUAUUUUUUAUAUACAGUUGUAUACAGUUUCAAAUACAAUAUCAACAUAUUUUAAGAAUAUUUUCAAAUACAAUAUCAACAUAUUUNNNNNNNNNNNNNNNNNNNNNNNNNNNNNNNNNNNNNNNNNNNNNNNNNNNNNNNNNNNNNNNNNNNNNNNNNNNNNNNNNNNNNNNNNNNNNNNNNNNNNNNNNNNNNNNNNNNNNNNNNNNNNNNNNNNNNNNNNNNNNNNNNNNNNNNNNNNNNNNNNNNNNNNNNNNNNNNNNNNNNNNNNNNNNNNNNNNNNNNNNNNNNNNNNNNNNNNNNNNNNNNNNNNNNNNNNNNNNNNNNNNNNNNNNNNNNNNNNNNNNNNNNNNNNNNNNNNNNNNNNNNNNNNNNNNNNNNNNNNNNNNNNNNNNNNNNNNNNNNNNNNNNNNNNNNNNNNNNNNNNNNNNNNNNNNNNNNNNNNNNNNNNNNNNNNNNNNNNUUUGCAAUUUUUUCAUACACAUUUGCAAUUUUUUUAUGUAUUAGAAACAAUUUUGUACAUGUUUAACAUUUUUUAUGCACGAUGAAAUUUUUUCAACUUCUGUAUAUGAAGUUAUAUUUAUAAUAGAUAUAAUCAGAAAAAUUUAAAAUACAAGCAAAAGUAAAAAAAUAAAACAGAAAACCCAAUGCAAAUGUGUGACAAAAAACAGAAGAAAUAAAAGUGCUGAAGGCCUUUCCGCGCUUGGCUGUCCCAAUCGGAUGGCUGCCUGAAUUGAGACAUCCUAUUGUCUCGCUCAAGUGAGACAUAGGGGCGCCCGCACCACAUACUCUUUUUUUACCUCAAAAUAAGUCACACAUACUUUUUAUUCAGCUGAACCCGGUCCCACAUACACAAGCGUGCCAAGCAAACAGAUGCACAAUCCCACGCAGGAGCCAACGAUGGUUAAGCCACGUACUCCCUUCAUUUUUAUUUAGUCCGUCUAUUCACUUUGCUCAAAGUCAAGCUUUAUAAACUUUGACAAAAUUUAUAAACAAAAAUAUUAACAUAUGCAAUAACAAAUCAAUACUAUUAGAUGUAUGAUUGAAUGUACUUUCACAUCUCAUUUAUUUGUUAUGAUAAAUGUUUAUAUUAUUUUCUAUAAACUUGAUCAAGCUUUAUGAAAUUUUACUAUAGUCAACUCCAUUAAAUAAAAACGGAGGGAGUACCUACGUAAUGACGAUUUUCUAUUCGUCGCAUUUUGCAACAACAACAACAACAACAACAACAACAACAACAACAACAACAACAACAACAACAAUAACAAUAGCAGCAGCAGCAGCAACAGCAGCAACAGCAACAACAGCAACAACAACAACAGCAACAGUGGCAACAACAGCAACAGCAGCAGCAACAACAACAACAACAACAACAACAACAAUAGCAACAACAGAUAGCAAGCUUCCACGCACCCCUGUCCGUAACUAGUUCGCAACAUGGGAUGGCCCACAUUGUUUUUUUUGUGUGCCAGCAUACCGGUUUUGGGAAGAUCAGAAGGUUCUGACCGGUUUAGGGAACCUUCUAGAAGGUUCCUAAAUCGGUUUUGCCUUCAUGAUUUGUUUGUUUUUCUUCUUCAAAUUUUUUCUUUUUUUUACUUUUCUUCUCUUUUUGGUUGUUUUUUCUUCAUCAUUUUUUUUGGAUUCUUCUCUUUUUUAUAUUUUAUUUUCUUUGUUCUUUUUCUUGUUCAAACAAUUACAAAUUUACAAAAAUGGUUCAUGUUUUCCAAAACUUGUUAGAAUUUUUUUGAAAAAAUAUGUUCGCAAUUUAAAAAUGGUUAGAAAUUUCAAAAUUGUUUGCAAUUUUCAAGUACUUCCUAGCUACACUUCUCCUUAGACUUUGGGUGCCUUACUUGUCACUACUAGCAGGUAGAAGGCACACCUAGAUAUUUCAAACAAUGUUUAGAAAUUUAAAAUUGUUGGCAACUUUUCAAGUAUUUCCUAGUUACGCUGAUCCUUAGACUUCGGGCAUCUCAUUUGUCACUACUAGCAGGCAAAGGGCACAACUAGAAAUUUCAAGAUGGUUAGAAAUUUCAAACAAUGUUAAGAUUUUUUUUAAAAUAUGUUCACAAUUUAAAAAUGGUUAGAAAUUUUAAACAAUGUUUCGCUUUUAAAAUUUGUUUGAAUAUUAAAAAGAGGUUCAUCAUUUCAAAUUUUGUUCUUAAAUUUAAAAAGUAUUCAAAAUUUCUAAAGAUAUUUCCGUUCUAGAAAAAUGUUCUAGAAUUUUUAAAAAUGGUUGUAUUUAUAAAAAAAAAGUGUCCAAAAUUUAAAAUGAUGUUCUUGUUUUCAAGGUUGAUCUUUUUUGGAAUUUAAAAUUAUUUGCGUUUGUCAAAAAUUGCUCAUAAUUUCAAAAAAUAGUUUGAAAUCUGUAAAAUUGUUUGCAACUUUUGAAGUACUUCCUAGUUAUGCUUCUCCUUAGACUUCGGGCGCCUCAUUUGUCACUACUAGCCCGUGCGUAUUUGUGGUGUUUUUAAAAAGUAAGAGAAGGGGUCACAAUUGGUUGCGAAGAAAUUUUUUGAUAGAUUCCAGAAAUUUUCAUUAGACAUUGAUAAAACAUGUAAACAUAUUUAGGAUCUAGAAUCAAUUAUUUAUUAUUUGUCACUUACAACUUUCCAAGAACCUAAUACUUCUUUUCUGGCGAUGGUGCUGGAGGGCAUUGCUGGAAAAAUGUCAUAUACACAAACUGAGGUCUGAUGGUUUGCAAGUGCACAUGGCUGUUGCAGCACUUUCGUGAUAAAUAGAGUGUCGAAACCACAUGAAGCGAAUACGAAGGCACCACAAACCCCGCAGCUACGCUGUCACUUAACAAACUACGUACGCACAAUAGCCUACUUUAACGAAAGUGCUCUUUUGAUCCCGAGCUCAUAUGCUCCCGCAUGAACAGUAAAAUCGAAAAAAUAGUUAAAAAAUUCAAAAAAACUCUGAUUUUUUUGUGACGAACAUUGAUGAACUUUCUAACUGCAUGCAAAAUUUCAGGUCAAAAGGACAUUCGUGGAGGUCUGGGCAAAAAUAACAAAAUCGGUGCUCCAAAAUGCUUCCAACAAUAGUCUUUUUGGACCAUCGAUUUUUUUGCCCAGCCCUCCAAGAAUGUCAUUUCAACCUGAAAUUUGCACGCAGUUAGAAAAUUUACCAAUGUUCAUCACAAAAAAAUUCAGAUUUUUUAAAUUAUUUUUCUAUUUUUUCGGUUUUACUGUUCAUGCGUGAGCAUAUGAGCUCAAGAUCAAAUACUCCAUGUCCGUACUUUAGUAAGUAGCUUGGAACACAAAUAAAAGGGGUAGUGUUUACUAAACUACGAACAAGAAAUAAAAGACAGAAAAAUAAAGAGACUAAACUACGUGAAACGGUGCUUGAGUAGUAAACAUUCUCAAGGGAAUUGGAGUCAUCACCACAAAUAUGAUGCUGACAACACAUGAUGAACACGGCUCUCUAAUUGUAUCACUAAGCCACUUGUAUAUGAUCUCGGGUGGGCAGAGCCAUAUAAAGUACUCAUCCCCACUAAGGUUACCGUGUACCGUGCUUCCCCACUCCGGUUAUCACAACGAUGAUUAAGGGGAGUGAACUCCCCGUGGUCAUGGCCUUAAACUCUAGGGUUCUCCACUAAUCCCUAUUGCAAUGAUCAGGGAGGAAGCGAGAAUAUGUUCUCACCAAUAUUACUUGCCUCAUGUCCACAAGGGGAUAAUGUUGUGUGGGUGGCCUUCACAACACCAUGAGACAAUCAACGCAACACAUAUAAAGAGAAUAUUGGAUAUGUUAUUCAACAAAGUACUAAUCACGCAAGGGUUCACCCAAAUCCUAAGUACUAAUACAACUACUCAAACAUCAUAGAGGGAGAGGGCAAGUUACAAGCCGGCAUGAAGCCCAUGGAGGAGAGGAGCAUAGUGGCGCCGGUGAUGGUGUUGACAGCCCGUCAGCGGUGAAGACCGCACCGGCCCGAAGACCGAUGCGUGUGGUCCUUCUCUUCUCUAUCGAGGUGGUUUUGGAGCAACAAUGGAGAUGGAUAAUGGCUGCAUGGAUCAAUGAAUGUUGAUGGAGCAUCAGAGACAGCGACUAGGGUUGUGGAUGACUUAUGUAUAUGGAGAGCCUCCCUAGCCUCCUCCCUUGAUGGGCUUCAGCCAGGGGCUCACAAUGAGCCUAAUCCUCUCGCAGUAUCUUCUUUAAGAGCCAAGGAUCCCAUGGGAACGAACGGGGAUGAAAUCUGUGAAGAAUUCUGUUUGGAAGGGCAUUUCAGAGCUGUCUUGACGUCAAAUGACUGCUCAACGACCGCAUGAACGCCGUCUUUAUUGUUGUCUUUUUGUGCAAUCUCUCUCUAGUAAAACUACCGCCAUUUCUUCAUACGAACUCGGAAUUUGAAGUUCUUGAGCUUGUUGGAUUCGUAUCAAUGACGCCAAUCCAUUUAUAGUCUUAGAUCUUGAUCUGGAGCACUCUGAAAAAAUGACUUUUUCUGACCUUCGAAAUGGCUAAGUUUGACCCCAGACUGACCCCGUAUUGAACCCAUCCUUGCUUCUUUUAUCAUUCUUAUUCCUAGGUUGCUCCAAUACACCUAUAGCCACAAGAAAAGAAGGAAAGCUAAUAAAAACCGAAUAAAUACACAAAUGUGCAAUGCUCCCAAUGAAAAGUGCAAAAAUCGGUAAUCAUGCAUAAUGGACAUACAUUUGGUUCAAUUAGACAUGAUAUAUAAAGAGAACAUGCAACAUAUGAGCUCUAAAAAUCCGUAAAAUAUAGAGCCAUCAUGGUCACUGCUAGAACAAAUGGCAUAUAGCACCAUACUAUCAAAAGAGGUGGAAGUAGUUUACAAACCUCACAGAAGUUAUCAAUUCGAAUUAAGUACAUCACUCCCUGUCUUCCAACUCUUUUUACUGGUAGCACCAUACUCUCGAUAAUUUUGGCCUAGUUUCCUUCAUAAACUGGACAAGUCUUAUUAAUGGUGGUGGAGGGCCUCCCUGCCCUCUCGAAGUUUCUUUUGUGAGAAAAAAACAAGUAGGUUACUUUCAACUUCAGGGAUUCAUGACCCUUUAUCUAGGAGUACAUAUGUGCCCAUGUUUCUUUCUUUCUAUGGACAUGUAGCUUUAUUGUUUCUUCCUAUGCAAAUGUGGUUUCCAUAUGCAUGUUGCGGCUGACUUAUGUCUAUGGACAGAUGGCCUCUAUGGUCACCACCUUUGACAUCUUCAAAAAUGGAGUUCAGUAAUGAGCUGACUUAUGUGCAUAGUAUGGCCCCUAAAUCAAAACUGGAGGAAGGUGGAAUGCAGGUUAGCAAAUUUCUACUGUAUUUGUUAUUUCAUGGUGCCUAAUAAUGCACUCUUUUACUUUCAAGGUUCUUUCAUGAGAGGAUAAAGACACCAUCGAACUUUGCAAAAACAGGUUAAAAAGACGAGGAUGCUCUCUACUUCUUGUGAUUUUUGAUUCCCACGGGGGGUAUGUUCUUGGAUUCAUUAUGCAUCUAUCAUAUUUAUGAUUUCCAGUAUAGAAGAAGUAAACUAACACAACUUAUCUUUUUUAGCUUUAGUAUAUGUAGAUUGAUGCAGAUAUUAAUGAGAUGAUAUUCUUUACAAUAUACACUUGUGACCUUAAUUAUUUGGAUCAAGGAGAAUGAUGGUUGUGAUAGUAUAUUGACCCAUCUAUCAGACUAUCACCAGCGGAUCCUUCCAAGAAGCUUGAUAUUUUCCUUCACAAACGGGGAAACACCCCCCACACUUUAUUAAUGGCCUCUGCGACCGCACUCCAUAAGUAGUCACUUCCGACCUUAUGAACAUAAAAUGUGUUAGGCAUCAUUUAUGUAGCUAUACUAAUCUAAUAUCAUCAAACUCCUGCAUGGAAGGCAAGAAGAAGCAGAACAUCAAGUGUGUGAGAAACGAUAUCGAUGGUGAGAGCCAUGUCUUGUUGAUCUCUUCCACGACUUAGCUUGUGGUGAGAAGCUAUACUAUGACGACAAUGGGCAUGAGUAUGCGUACCCAACACAUCAUUUUGUCUAACUCCGAAUAGUCCCGACCUGCCCAACAUCAAGGAUUUUGGGUGAUAAUAGGGAUUAAUGGUGGCAUUUUCAGCAUUGCCUCUGAAAUCCAUUAACUUCUACGUAGUUCAGUUGCCAGAAGAAAUGCCUAGAUGUGGAUAAUGAUACAUGUUGAUGUUAUAAGUAGUGAAAAUUGUCUUCAUUCAGUAGUGGGGAGAGACAAGUGUGAUCUUCAUUUUACAUUUCUCCUGACCACCAAGAUGUUGUCUUCUCACUCAUAUUAAUUACUACUGCAGAGUUCCUGCAUGACUUGAGAGUUGAUAAUCGUCAAUCAGUUUUGGAUGCAUAUAGUUCCCUUUCUCCCUAGAGUGAGUCUAGGUUAUCGAAUACACAAGAAGUCAUGCCUUGGGAAGGUGAUUUCUGCAAGCCUUUGUUAUAAAAUAGUCGCAGUUUACGCAGACCAAUUCGCACAAUUUAUAUUAAGAAAAGUAAUAAAGAAAUAUGACAUGGGGUGUUUGAAGGAAAUAUGCCCUAGAGGCAAUAAUAAAGUUAUUAUUUAUUUCCUUAUUUCAUGAUAAAUAUUUAUUAUUCAUGCUAGAAUUGUAUUAACCGGAAACAUAAUACAUGUGUGAAUACAUAGACAAACAUAUUGUCACUAGUAUGCCUCUACUUGACUAGCUUGUUAAUCAAAGAUGGUUAAGUUUCCUAACCAUAGACAUGAGUUGUCCUUUGAUUAAUGGGAUCACAUCAUUAGGAGAAUGAUGUGAUUGACUUGACCCAUUCCGUUAGCUUAGCACUUGAUCGUUUAGUAUGUUGCUAUUGCUUUCUUUAUGAUUUAUACAUGUUUCUAUAACUAUGAGAUUAUGCAACUCCCAUUUACCGAAGGAACACUUUGUGUGCUACCAAACGUCACAAUGUAUCUGGGUGAUUAUAAAGGAGCUCUACAGGUGUCUCCGAAGGUACAUGUUGGGUUGGCGUAUUUCGAGAUUAGGAUUUGUCACUCCGAUUGUCGGAGAGGUAUCUCUGGGCCCUCUCGGUAAUGCACAUCACUAUAAGCCUUGCAAGCAAUGUGGCUAAUAGGUCAGUUAUGGAAUGAUGCAUUACGUAACGAGUAAAGAGACUUGUCGGUAACGAGAUUGAACUAGGUAUUGAGAUACCGACGAUCGAAUCUCGGGCAAGUAACAUACCGAUGACAAAGGGAACAAUGUAUGUUGUUAUGCGGUUUGACCGAUAAAGAUUUUCGUAGAAUAUGUAGGAGCCAAUAUGAGCAUCCAGGUUCCGCUAUUGGUUAUUGACCGGAAACGAGUGUCAGUCAUGUCUGCACAGUUCUCGAACCCAUAGGGUCCGCACGCUUAAGGUUUCGAUGACAGUUAUAUUAUGAGUUUAUGAGUUUUGAUGUACCGAAGGUUGUUCGGAGUCCCGAAUGAGGUUACGGACAUGACGAGGAGUCUCGAAAUGGUCGAGACAUGAAGAUUGAUAUAUCGGAAGCCUAUAUUUGGAUGUUAGAAGUGUUCCGGGUGAAAUCAGGAUUUUACCAGAGUACCUGGGGGUUACCGGAACCCCCUGGGGGCUUAAUGGGCCUACAUGGGCCUUAGUGGAAAUAGUGGGCAGCAAGGGGAGUAUGGGGCGCCCCCCCAAGGCCCAAACCGAAUUGGUUUACGGCAAGGGGGGCCGCCCCCCCCCCUCUUUCCUUCUCCUCCUCUCCCUUCCUUCCCCCUCUCCUAGUCCAACAAGGAAGGAGGGAGUCCUACUCCCGGUGGUAGUAGGACUCCCCAUGGCGCGCCCCCUCCUAGGCCGGCCGCCCCUCCCCCCUUGCUCCUUUAUAUACAGGGGCAGGGGGCACCUCUAGACACAACAAUUGAUCUCUUGAUCUCUUAGCCGUGUGCGGUGCCCCCUCCACCAUAGUCCUCCUCGAUAAUAUUGUAGCGGUGCUUAGGUGAAGCCCUGCGAUGGUAGAUCAUCAACAUCGUCACCACGCUGUCGUGCUGACGGAACUCUCCCUCGACACUCGGCUGGAUCGGAGUUCAAGGGACGUCAUCGAGCUGAACGUGUGCUAGAACUCGGAGGUGCCGUAGUUUCGGUGCUUGAUCGGUCGGGCCGUGAAGAUGUACGACUACAUCAACCGCGUUGUUCUAACGCUUCCGCUUUCGGUCUACGAGGGUACGUGGACAACACUUUCCCCUCUCGUUGCUAUGCAUCACCAUGAUCUUGUGUGUGCGUAGGAUUUUUUUUUGAAAUUACUAUGUUCCCCAACAGUGGCAUCCGAGCCAGGUUUUAUGCGUAGAUGUUAUAUGCACGAGUAGAACACAAGUGAGUUGUGGGCGAUACAAGUCAUACUGCUUACCAGCAUGUCAUACUUUGGUUCGACGUUAUUGUUGGAUGAAGCGCCCCGGACCGACAUUACGCGUACGCUUACGCGAGACUGGUUCUACCGACAUGCUUUGCAUACAGGUGGCUGGCGGGUGUCAGUUUCUCCAACUUUAGUUGAACCGAGUGUGGCUACGCCCGGUCCUUGCGAAGGUUAAAACAGCACUAACUUGACGAACUAUCAUUGUGGUUUUGAUGCGUAGGUAAGAAUGGUUCUUGCUCAACCCGUAGCAGCCACGUAAAACUUGCAACAACAAAGUAGAGGAUGUCUAACUUGUUUUUGCAGGGCAUGUUGUGAUGUGAUAUGGUCAAGACGUGAUGCUAUAUUUUAUUGUAUGAGAUGAUCAUGUUUUGUAACCGAGUUAUCGGCAACUGGCAGGAGCCAUAUGGUUGUCUCUUUAUUGUAUGCAAUGCAAUCUCCCUGUAAUUUCUUUACUUUAUCACUAAGCGGUAGCGAUAGUCAUAGAAGAAAUAGUUGGCGAGACGACAAAGAUGCUAUGAUGGAGAUCAAGGUGUCGCGCUGGUGACGAUGGUGAUCAUGACGGUGCUUCAGAGAUGGAGAUCACAAGCACAAAAUGAUGAUGGCCAUAUCAUAUCACUUAUAUUGCUUGCAUGUGAUGUUUAUCUUUUAUGCAUCUUAUCUUGCUUUGAUUGACGGUAGAAUUACAAGAUGAUCUCUCACUAAAUUUCAAGAUAAAAGUGUUCUCCCUGAGUAUGCACCGUUGCCAAAGUUCGUCGUGCCCAGACACCACGUGAUGAUCGGGUAUGAUAAGCUCUACGUCCAUCUACAACGGGUGCAAGCCAGUUUUGCACACGCAGAAUACUCAGGUUAAACUUGACGAGCCUAGCAUAUGCAGAUAUGGCCUCGGAACACUGAGACCUAAAGGUCGAGUGUGAAUCAUAUAGUAGAUAUGAUCAACAUAGUGAUGUUCAACAUUGAAAACUACUCCAUUUCACGUGAUGAUCGGUUAUGGUUUAGUUGAUUUGGAUCACGUGGUCACUUAGAUGAUUAGAGGGAUGUCUAUCUAAGUGAGAGUUCUUAAGUAAUAUGAUUAAUUGAACUUAAAUUUAUCAUGAACUUAGUCCUGGUAGUAUUUUGCAAAUUAUGUUGUAGAUCAAUAGCUCGCGUUGUUGCUUUCAUAUGUUUAUUUUGAUAUGUUCCUAGAGAAAAUUGUGUUGAAAGAUGUUAGUAGCAAUGAUGCGGAUUGGAUCCGUGAUCCGAGGCUUAUCCUCAUUGCUGCACAGAAGAAUUAUGUCCUUAAUGCACCGCUAGGUGACAGACCUAUUGCAGGAGCAGAUGCAGACCUUAUGAACAUUUGGCUAGCUCAAUAUGAUGACUACUUGAUAGUUUAGUGCACCAUGCUUAACGGCUUAGAAUCGGGACUUCAAAGAUGUUUUGAACGUCAUGGACCAUAUGAGAUGUUCCAGGAUUUGAAGUUAAUAUAUCAAGCAAAUACCCGAGUUGAGAGAUAUGAAGUCUCCAACAAGUUCUAUAGCUAAAAGAUGGAGGAGAAUCGCUCAACUAGUGAGCAUGUGCUCAAAUUGUCUGGGUACUACAAUUGCUUGAAUCAAGUGGGAGUUAAUCUCCCAGAUAAGAUAGUGAUUGACAGAGUUCUCUAGUCACCAUCACCAAGUUACUAGAACUUCGUGAUGAACUAUAGUAUACAAGGGAUGACGAAAACAAUUCCCGAGCUCUUGGUGACGUUCAAAUCGACGAAAGUAGAAAUCAAGAAAGAGCAUCAAGUGCUGAUGAUUGACAAGACCACUAGUUUCAAGAGAAGGGCGAAGGGAAGGAAAGGGAACUCCAAGUAGAAUGACAAGCAAGCUGGCACUCCCGCGAAGAAGCCCAAAGCUAGACCAAAAGCCUGAAACUGAGUGCCUACAAUGCAAAGGAAAUGGUCACUGGAAACGGAAAUGUCCUGAAUAUUUGGUGGAUAAGAAGGAUGGCAGAGUGAACAAGGGUAUAUUUGAUAUACAUGUUAUUGAUGUGUGCCUUACUAGUGUUUAUAGUAGCCCCUGAGUAUUUGAUACUUGUUCGGUUGCUAAGAUUAGUAACUCGAAACAUGAGUUACAUAAUAAACAGAGACUAGUUGAGGGGAAGUGACGAUGAGUGUUGGAAGUAGUUCCAAGAUUGAUAUGAUCAUCAUCACACACUCCCUAAACUUUCGGGAUUAGUGUUAAACCUAAAUAAAUGUUAUUUGGCGUUUGCAUUGAGCAUGAAUAUGAUUUGAUCAUGUUUAUUGCAAUACGGUUAUUCAUUUAAAGUCAGAGAAUAAUUGUUGUUCUGUUUACAUGAAUAAAACCUUCAAUGGUCAUACACCCAAUGAAAAUAGUUUGUUGGAUCUCGAUCGUAGUUAUACACAUAUUCAUAAUAUUGAUGCCCAAAGAUGCAAAGUUAAUAAUGAUAGUGCAACAUAUUUGUGGCACUGUCGGUUGGGUCAUAUCGGUGUAAAGCGCAUGAGGAAAUUACAUAAAGGUGGAUUUUUGGAAUCAUUUGGUUAUGAAUCAUUUGAUGCUUGCGAACCGUGCCUUAUGGGCAAGAUGACUAAAACUCCGUUCUCCGGAACAAUGGAACGAGUUAUUGACUUGUUGGAAAUAAUACAUACCGAUGUAUACGGUCCAAUGAGUGUUGAUGCUCGUGGCGGGUAUCAUUAUUUUCUGACCUUCACAGAUGAUUUGAGAAGAUAUGAGUAUAUCUAAUUAAUGAAGCACAAGUAUGAAACAUUUGAAAAGUUCAAACAAUUUCAGAGUAAAGUGGAGAAUCAUCGUAACAAGAAAAUAAAGUUUCUACGAUCUGAUCGUCGAGGAGAAUAUUUGUGUUACGAGUUUGGCCUUCAUAUAAAACAAAUAUGGAAUAGUUUCACAGUUCACACCACCUGGAACACCACAACGUUAUGGUGUGUCCGUACGUCGUAACCGCACUUAAUUGGAUAUUGUGCGACCUAUGAUGUCUCUUAUCGGUUUACCACUAUUGUUUUAGGGUUAUGCAUUAGAGACAGUUGCAUUCACUUUAAAUAGGGCACGAUCGAAAUCCGUUGAGGCGACGGCUUAUGAACUGUGGUUUGGCAAGAAACCAAAGUUGUCGUUUCUUAAAGUUUGGGACUGUGAUGCUUAUGUGAAAAAGUUUCAACCUGAUAAGCUCGAACCCAAAUCGGACAAAUGUGUCUUCAUAGGAUACCCAAAGGAGACUAUUGGGUACACCUUCUAUCACAGAUCCGAAAGCAAGAUUCAUUGCUAAGAAUGGAUCCUUUCUAGAGAAGAAGUUUCUCUCGAAAGAAGUGAGUGGAAGGAAAGUAGAACUUGAUGAGGUAAUUGUACCUUCUCCCUUAUUGGAAAGUAGUUCAUCACAGAAAUAAGUUCCAGUGAUUCCUACACCAAUUAGUGAGGAAGUUAAUGAUGAUGAUCAUGAAACUUUAGAUCAAGUUGCUACCAAACCUUGUAGGUCUUCCAAAGUAAGAUCCGCACCAGAGUGGUACGGUAAUCCAGUUCUGGAAGUCAUGUUACUAGACCAUGAUGAACCUACGAACUACGAGGAAGCGAUGAUGAGCCCAGAUACCGCGAAAUGACUUGAGGCCAUAAAAUCUGAGAAAGGAUCCAUGUAUGAGAACAAAGUAUGGACUUUGGUUGACUUGCUCGAUGAUUAGCAAGCCAUGUUAAAUAAAUGGAUCUUCAAGAGGAAGACGGACACUGAUAAUAGUGUUACUAUCUACUAAGCUCGACUUGUUGCGAAAGGUUUUCGACAAGUUCAAGGUGUUGAAUAUGAUGAGAUUUUCUCACUUGUAACGAUGCUUAAGUCUGUCAGAAUCAUGUUAGCGAUUGCCACAUUUUAUGAAAUCUGGCAAAUGGAUGACAAAACUGCAUUCCUUAAAUGGAUAUUUCUCAAAGAAGUGUUGUAUAUGAUACAACCAGAAGGUUUUGUAAAUCCUAAAGGUGCUAAUAAAAUGUGCAAGCCCCAGCAAUCCAUCAAUGGACUGGUGCAAGCAUCUCGGAGUUGGAAUAUACGCUUUGAUAAGUUGAUCAAAGCAUAUGGUUUUAUACAGACUUUUGGAAAGGCCUGUAUUUACAAGAAAGUGAGUGGGAGCUUUGUAGCAUUUUCUAAAACUAUAUGUAGAUGACAUAUUGUUGAUUGGAAAUGGUAUAUAAUUUCUGGAUAGCAUAAAGGGAUACUUGAAUAAGAGUUUUUCAAUGAAACACCUCGGUGAAGCUGCUUACAUAUUGGGCAUCAAGAUGUAUAAGAUAGAUCAAGACACUUGAUAAGAUUUUUUCAAUGAGUACAUACCUUAAUAAGAUUUUGAAGUAAUUCAAAAUGGAACAGUCAAAGAAGGAGUUCUUGUCUGUGUUGCAAGGUGUGAAGUUGAGUAAGACUCAAAACCCGACCAUGGCAGAAAAUAGAAAGAGAAUGAAAAGUCAUUCCCUAUGCCUCAGUCAUAGGUUGUAUAAAGUAUGCUAUGCUGUGUACCAGACCUAUUGUAUACCUUUCUCUGAGUUUGGCAAGGGAGUACAAUUUUGAUCUAAGAGUAGAUCACUGGACAGCGGUCAAGAAAAUCCUUAGUGAGGACUAAGGAAAUAUUUCUCGAUUAUGGAGGUGAUAAAAGAGCCCGUCGUAAAGAGUUACAACAAUGCAAGCUUUUACACCGAUCCAGAUAACUAUAAGUCUCAAUUUGGAUACAUAUUGAAAGUGGGAGCAAUUAGCUAUAGUAGCUCCGUGCAGAGCAUUGUAGACAUAGAAUAUUUGCAAAAUACAUAUGACUCUGAAUAUGAAAGACCCGUUGACUAAACUUCUCUCACGAGCAAAACAUGAUCACACCUUAGUACUCUUUGGGUGUUAAUCACAUAUCGAUGUGAACUAGAUUAUUGACUCUAGUAAACCCUUUGGGCAUGUGGACUAUGGGUGUUAAUCACAUGCAGAUGUGAAUAUUAGUUUAAAUCACAUGUUGAUGUGAACUAGAUUAUUGACUCUAGUGCAAGUGGGAGACUAAAGGAAAUAUGCCUUAGAGGCAAUAAUAAAGUUAUUAUUUAUUUCCUUAUUUCAUGAUAAAUGUUUAUCAUUCAUGCUAGAAUUGUAUUAACCGGAAACAUAAUACAUGUGUGAAUACAUAGACAAACAUAGUGUCACUAGUAUGCCUCUACUUGACUAGCUCGUUAAUCAAAGAUGGUUAAGUUUCCUAACCAUAGUCAUGAGUUGUCAUUUGAUUAACGGGAUCACAUCAUUAGGAGAAUGAUGUGAUUGACUUUAACCAUUCCGUUAGCUUAGCACUUGAUCGUUUAGUAUGUUGCUAUUACUUUCUUCAUGACUUAUACAUGUUCCUAUAACUAUGAGAUUAUGCAACUCCAGUAUACCGGAGGAACACUUUGUGUGCUACCAAACAUCACAACGUAACUGAGUGAUUAUAAAGGAGCUCUACAGGUGUCUUCGAAGGUACAUGUUGGGUUCGCGUAUUUCGAGAUUAGGAUUUGUCACUCCGAUUGUCGGAGAGGUAUCUCUGGGCCCUCUCGGUAAUGCACAUCACUAUAAGCCUUGCAAGCAAUGUGGCUAAUGAGUUAGUUACUGAAUGAUGCAUUACGUAACGAGUAAAGAGACUUGCCGGUAACGAGAUUGAACUAGGUAUUGAGAUACCGACGAUCGAAUCUCGGGCAAGUAACAUACCGAUGACAAAGGGAACAACGUAUGUUGUUAUGCGGUUUGACCGAUAAAGAUCUUCGUAGAAUAUGUAGGAGCCAAUAUGAGCAUCCAGGUUCUGCUAUUGGUUAUUGACCGGAAAUGAGUCUCGGUCAUGUCUACAUAGUUCUCGAACCCGUAGGGUCCGCAUGCUUAAGGUUUCCAUGACAGUUAUAUUAUGAGUUUAUGAGUUUUGAUGUACCGAAGGUUGUUCAGAUUCCCAAAUGUGAUUACGGACAUGACGAGGAGUCUUGAAAUGGUCGAGACAUGAAGAUUGAUAUAUUGGAAGCCUAUAUUUGGAUGUCGGAAGAGUUCCGGGUGAAAUCGGGAUUUUACCGGAGUACCGAGGGGUUACCGGAACCCCCCAGGGGCUUAAUGGGCCUACAUGGGCCUUAGUGGAAAUAGAGGGCAGCAAGGGGAAUGUGGGGCGCCCCCCCCCCCCCAAGGCCCAAACCGAAUUGGUUUAGGGCAAGGGGGCCGUCCCCCCUCUUUCCUUCUCCUCCUCUCCCUUCCCCCUCUCCUAGUCCAACAAGGAAGGAGGGAAUCCUACUCCCGGUGGGAGUAGGACUCCCCAUGGCGCGCCCCCUCCCCCCUUGCUCCUUUAUAUACGGGGGCAGAGGGCACCUCUAGACACAAAAAUUGAUCUCUUGAUCUCUUAGCCGUGUGCGGUGCCCCCCUCCACCAUAGUCCUCCUCGAUAAUAUUGUAGCGGUGCUUAGGUGAAGUCCUGCGACGGUAGAACAUCAACAUCAUCACCAUGCCGUCGUGCUGACGGAACUCUCCCUCGACACUCGGCUGGAUCGGAGUUCGAGGGACGUCAUCGAGCUGAACGUGUGCUAGAACUCAGAGGUGACAUAGUUUCGGUGCUUGAUCGGUCGGGCCAUGAAGACGUACGACUACAUCAACCGCGUUGUUCUAACGCUUCCGCUUUCGGUCUACGAGGGUACGUGGACAACACUCUCCCCUCUCGUUGCUAUGCAUCACCAUGAUCUUGUGUGUGCGUAGGAAUUUUUUUGAAAUUACUACGUUCCCCAACAGUGUUUCACUUGCAACCAUAUACACACGCUUGAGAUAUGCCGGACAUUUCAAUUGAAUGCUUCCAGUUAUGAUCAAAUGCAACUAAAGCUAUUUGUCGUACUCUAACCACCAAAGCUAAAGCAUGGUUAUGUUUAUCCUGUAGGUACUAUGAAGCGACGGAGUUACAAUCUUAUAUGAAUGCCAUAAGUGCCCAGGCAGAAGAACCAAGGCCUGAAAUUGCGACAUUAACAAUAUGAUGUACAAAUGUGCGAAGUGUUGUCGAUGUACCUGUCACAAGUGUCCUCAUGGAAAUAUCUUCUAAGUCACUAGAUGGAAACUAACAAUGUGAUUGCGGAAGGACACACUAUCCAAGAACCUAAUGCUUCUCUACAGAUGAUAGUGCUGGAGGGCAUUGCUUGAAAAUUUUCAUCUACACACACUGAGGUCACCGCUAGAACAAAUGGUAAAUACACUGGGAGGACCAUACUAUAAGACGAGGUGGAAGCAUAAGAACUUUAUAAAUCUAAUUUCUUUCAACAAUUUUUGCUUGGUCAUAUAAUUUUAGGGACUUCAUUCCUUUUGGAAGACGCUUUGGUGAACAAAAUAAAGUAGGUCACUUUCUUCUUCAGGGAUUCAUGUUCCUUAAUAUAGGUCACUUUCGGCCGACCAUAUUUGGCAUCAUAGAAGAAACAAAACUGCCGAAAUAGAAGGAAAAGACUUGUUGACAGUGAUUACAUGUUAUAAAUAAUGACGAUUAUCCAUUCACGACACAACCUAGUUCUUUAAUGUUAGGCGGCCGUUAGUCUCUCGUCCGCCAUGGAUCACAUAAACUAGAUCCUACCAACCACCGAACUAAACAUGCACGCAUCACUUUCUCGUCCGCCAUGGAUCACGUAAACUAGAUCCUACCGACCACCGAACAAAACAUGCACGUUUUACUCCAAGGUUACCAUCUGAGAUCAUACACAUAAUCGUGACAAACGGCGAAGGGGGGGGGGGGAAUCGUUCUGUCCGUUCGAGCACUCACCUUGCUCACUGAUGUCAUCGUCACCCUUGUCACUUCCGAGGUCGUCAACCAAGUCCUGGCCGUGGUUGUUGUGGAGGGGCGCAGAGGAGAACACAUGGGGCCGGCAGGGGGAACCCUAGAUUUCAAUUGCCUCAUCGCAGGGCAGAUGCAUGCUGGGGAGUUUAGGCUGGGGGGAUGCAUUAUUGAGUCACUACCAGAAACGUGACUAAGCCUGUUGGCCAAUAGCCGAUAGUAAAAAAGGUAAGGCUGUCAGAAAAAUCAUUCCCAUCGGACAACCGACAACCAUACCCUGCCAGGAAUGAAAUCACAUGCUAGCAAUCUGAAUCGGAAGGUACAGUUUUAUUAAUCUUAUAAACAAUGAACUCAGUGAAACUUCUCGGUGGAUCGUAUACAUACUAAGCUACAAACAAGUUGUGUGAACUCACUGGAAAUGAACUCAUUGGAAAUUCAAUGAUGAUUUAAAUGUGGCAAUGUGAUUAACCACCUACUUUUAGAUAAGUUCCCUAUGUGGACUAGUAAGACCAUUAUUGUAAUAGACAGGAAGAAUAUCGACGAUAUAUAGGCUCACCUAUCUGUAAUAUAUAAUUCCUAAGGAGUUUGGAAAAACAUUCAACCACAUUAUAAGUGCCAACAAAUAUUACCAGUGUUGAAAUUAACUCGUAUAGCACUGUAAUUUAUCCUUUUGGGAACUAGUCAAGAAUGGUAGACGAAUUUUGUCUAAUCCAUUUCCAUAGUUCUAACCUGUCCAGCAUCAAGGAGUCCUCGUGAGAAUAAGGAUUAAUAGCAGCCUCUUCAGAAUUGCCAGUUAUAUAUAAUAACGUAUACAUAGUUUGAUAGGUCACCGAACAUGGCAAGAUGAUAGUUGCUGGUGUAUUAUUUUUCCAAAAAGUCAAACUGCUCUAACGUUGACCAAGUUUAUAGACAAAAACCGUCAAUGUCUAGAAUACCAAAUCAUUGUCACUAGAUUCACCAUGAAAUAUAUUAUUAUAUUUUAUAUAUUUAGUAUUGUAAAUCUUUAUACAUCUUGCUAUAAAGUUGGUCAAACAUAGAUAAUGUUUGACUUUGUUAAAAACUAAUACACCUUACAUUUAGGAAUCGGAGGGACUACUUUUUAGUAGUGAGAGAAGUGUCGUCAUUCAGUUGCUGGGAGAGACAGAUGGUAUCUUCACUUUUUUUUGUACACACAUUGAGAUCACCGCCUGAACAAAUGGCAUAUAGACUGGUCGCACCGUACUACCGAAAGAGGUUGAAAGACUUGACUUCAUCAUCGACAAUAUCAAUCCUGAAGGGGAUCCUCCUUAAGACUAGGAACAAUAAUACAACGUGUACAUCACUAAGUAUAUGAAUUAUAAAUGUUAACAUUCUUCUCUUAGUACUGCUGGGGUUCACUCCUGAAAGGGCUCCUCCCAAGUCUAAGGAAACUGACUUUCGGACACUGCUUCAAGUUGCAUAGUUUAAGGACUUUGUUUUAUGCUACCUUGCUAUGAUGUGUACUGUCGCCAUUGUAGCAGCGCUCCACACACGCAAGUGCUUUAGAUUUUACUGAUCUACAUCUCCCGAGAGCCUCAGAUUUUGCCGAAUAUUGGUUGCAAUGUUGCCCUAUCGUGCCAUGUACUAAUCUCGGUGGACUCUGUUGUAAUCGCUCGGCAACCCACUUAUAUGUAUUUAUAGUCUAGAUAUAAUGGUAACACAUGUCGAUCUUCUUGUGAUCUUGUCAAGCAUGGGCCAGCUUCAGCAACGUGGCACCAGAGCAGAGAAGUACUGAGGAGAAGUGAUGACGCACACAUCUUGAGCUAACCGGCUGUAGACGUCGAAUCUUGAACAAAAAGGGAACUAGCUACGUAGGCCUCAAACAUACGCACCAGACAUUAGUUGCGGAGUAGCAGAGAAGCACUCUAAUGCCGCCUUGGCGGCGAGGUCGUCGAAGACUGUCCUGGCGGGAGGUCCUGCACCUUGUUGCACAUGCCAGACCCAUAUGACGACGAGCAAAACUCGGUGCCACUGACGGCGAAGGUGGCAUGGAACAUAGGCGUGUGGUCCAGGCCCUUAAACCGCUCGGUGUAUGCUGGCGCCACUCGCCGCUGCUUUUGGCACAAUUGUUUAGCUUGAACAUUCGUGAUCGUAUCGCAUAGGAGUCGAUUGGAUUGGAAUGAGGAAUGGGGAAGUUGGGCAGGGAACGGUUUCCCCGGGGCUCGCUUCGAUCUGAUAUGCGUGCAGCUGGGUUUCAGUAGCAGUUGUGUGCAUUAGUUGCACGCGACAGCCAGCAGUACCAUGAUUCUUUUUUUCUUUGGAAGUUUAGACUUCUGAGGAGAGGGUGCUUUCCAUAGUCGGAGUAACUUAGCUAGUAACAUAAGACACUUCAAUGAAAAUUUGCUUAUGUAAGAAAUAUCUAGAGAGGAGAGAGAUAUUUGUGGUAACAUAAUUUAUUACCGUAAUAUAACACAUCCCGAGGCAAAACGAGUCUGCAUCUAAAUAAAUGAACGUUUGCAUGAUACCACACAUAUGUUACUACGGUUAUGGAGGUAGUAACAUGGACUAGUAACAUAUGCAUGUUACUAGUCUAAUUUACUUUCCACUAUGACCAGCCUAAUUGAACGAAGUCCCAAUGGCGUAAAAAUGCAAGGUUUUUAUUUCUGGUGUUUCCCAUUAUUUUUGGUGCUUCGCUGGUAGUGUGGAAGUGCACACUAUCCAAGAUCCUAAUGCUUGUAUGCAGGCGAUGGUGCUGGAGGGCACUGAUGGUAAAAAUGUCUUAGACACACAUUGAGGUCACCGCUAGAAAAAAAAUGGCAUAUACACUAGUAGCACUUUACUAUCAAAAGGUGUGGAAGCACUUGACCAAUCACACAAAAAUGAACCUGAUCUAGAUUCAUAUGCUAGGGUUAACUUCAUCAUCGACGAUAUUAAUCCUUAAGGGGAUCUUCCUAAAGACGAGGAACAAGAGUAUAAUGCGUACUUCACUAAGUCUAUGAACUAUAAACGUUGACACUCUUCUCGUAGUGGUGCUGGGAUUCACUCCUGGAUGGGCUAAUCUCACCUGUCCCACAAAACUGACUUUCGGACACUGCUUCAAGUUGCAUACUGUUAAGACCUUUGUUUUAUGCUGCCUUGCUAUGAUACUAUCGCCAUUGUAGUGGUGUUCAGCACUGCCGGCGCUAUAGAUUUUGCUGAUCUUCAUCCCCCGAGUGCCUCAAAUUUUGCCGAAUAUUGGUUCCAAUGUUGCCCUAUCAUGCCAUGUACUGAUCUCAGUGGAGUCUGUUGCAAUCGCUCGGAAACUCACUGCCGGGGACCGCGACGAGGAGCUGCUCCUCUGCGACAGUGUGACCGCGGCCGGCACACCUUCUGCCUCCGCCCCAUCCUCCCCGCCGCCCCGUUGGGCUACUGGCUCUACCCUGACUGCGGCCCGACCUCCAUCAUCUGUGCGUCCCUCUGCUGCCGCUCGAUCUCGCCAUUCCCGCUCCCCCCCUUUGUGUUUGCACGCACUCGCUUGCCAUGAAUUUCAUCUUAUCUCAUCCGCUUACUGAUUGAAUUUCUGUCAGGUUUCCCGUUGAAGCAGAGCAAGAGCAUGGAUUUCUUCCGGAUCGAGAAGAGCGCGGAGGGCGGCGCCGUCGGGCCGGCAAAGUUAGGGCUUUCUCAGGGUAAUUUUCUUAUCUCUUAAAUUUUGAGUCGCAUGGAUUUCGUUCAUCGUAUGACUUAAGCUAGGGAGUCUGCGAUGAGGAAUCAUUGCGCAAUCGUUACACAUACUGCAUUACCAUCUGCUGAUGAUGCAAAUAAUUCAUAAGGUGCAAAUAGUUCAUCUGAAAUACUAUGAUUGAUUCGUUCAUUGUACUCUAUGUGGGUGUUGUGUGUUGAUUCAUUUGUCUAUUCGUUCUUUGAUUGUUUUGUUUUGCUAUGCUGGCCAGUCUGACACUGUAGUAUCCUGCAUAUGUCGGUGUCACAGUGGAUUAGAAUUUCUAGGUAAUGAAAUAUCACCGCAGGAAAUGCGCGGGAAAACCAUCACUGCUGGAAAUAUGCGGGAAAGCAUUGUUAAAAAAUUUUAAUUUGAUCUUAAUAGCACUCUUGUAGUAGGAUUGUGUUAUUGAAGUAGGUUGGUCAAGUGUGUAUGGAUUAAUUGACUUCCAUUGAUUUGUACACAUGUAUAUCAGGAUGAUUCACAGGGAUGCGUCGCAUGUAUAUCCUGUUCAUGAUCUGACUUGCACUCAUUGAGACAUAAAAAGCCCCCACCUUUUGAAGUUUAUUUAAAAUAGGACUGAUUACGUGUAGGGUUCACUUCUAAUGGGAGACAAAAAAUAUAUCAAAAAUAUAUCUUGUAGGGGUUUUGUUGUAUGUCAAUUCGUGAAUUGUUCUGUUUAGCGUGACUGACCGGUCAAUACAGCAGUCUCCUGUAUAUAUUCCAAUUUACUGAAAUUUCUAGUUUGUUGGGAACACAACAGCUACUUAACCAUUCAACUGCAUAUAUCUCCAAUCCAGCGCCGAGUGUAUCGCCGGCUCGCCCCUAGGGGGCGAUUUGUAUGCGUCCUGGAGGGGCCAACGGCUGGAGAUGCCCUUAGCGAGCAGGACUCCCAUGCUAUGGGGCUCCUUCCUCUUGUGCGCCUGCACCACCUCGUCCAGCUCCUGCCUGCGCGCCUCGAGCCACCCGGGUGGGAACACCCCGCUGGGCGCCAGCUCCGCGGCGGUGGGGAUCUUCACCAGGCCCUCGGCGUUGUAGAAGGCGGCCAUGAUGCGGUUGUCGUCGAAGCGAACCAUGCCUUGGCUGAUCGGGGUCGCGGUGGCGGGGUCGUACUCCCUGAUGAUCCUGUCGACUGUGUCGUCCAGCUCACGUGAAUCCAUCGCCACCGCCUCGGGGAAGGUUAGCAGAUCCGUUUUGAGCAUCUCCCGCAGCGGAGCGUCGUCCGAGUCGGACGCCUUCUCCGCCGGCGCCGGGAACAUGUCCAACGCCUCACGCUCCCCUGCUUCGGGAGGAGCAGGCACAUCGACGGAACCCUCCUUGCCGGCCAUCGGUAGACCAAUAAUGCUUAGCCUCGGACGAUGGCGAUGGAUCUUGGGUAUUAGGGAUUGAUGUGGCGGCGGCGUCGUCUCUAUCUUCUGUAUAUAAAGCCAGCCUGAGCCCGAACCACAGCUUUCCCUUUUCCUAGUCGUGGAGAGAGGCCAACUUGUGAAGCUGGGAGAGUCCGUAAAGAAUACUUCACGUGGCCAACGUAAAUAAAGCUGAUUCUGCUAGAAAUACUUAGAUUCUGAUGUGGGCUUUGAUUCCCUCUUUUCUCACGCUAUUAAUAUUCAACUAGUACAAAUGCCCGUGCGUUGCACCGGGCGAUAAAAGUGGUAGAACCUACUUGAUAGUUCAUUUUUCGUCAUAUUUUAUAUCCAAUUUUAAUAAAUGUUGAACAUGGAAAUUUCCUUUUUUAAUAAAACUUUAAUAUUUCAUAUAACAAUGCGUUGCCACGGGAAAUGAAUUGAACAGAUGAUUACGUUACGUGGAUAACAAAAUGGAACAUUGGUUUCUAAAAUUCUUGCUCAUCCAUUAUUAUGAAAAAAGAAAGUCUUCUUGUAAAGCCAAUAUUUAAGUUCAAGACGACUCAAGAUUACCAACAAAUAGUCCAUAUUUCAUAAUCUUUUUUGCAAUAGAAGCUUUGGUGUUAAUUUCAGCCGAAAUUAUACUCUAUGAUCCAAUGUGAGCUUAUUAUCACCAGAAUUUUUUAUGAAGCUACGCCGCUCAUUGAAACUGGUCUUUGGCGAUCGAUGGGCGGUCUUCAUCGCUCCGGUCACUCUUCGGGCUGUAGGGCAGCCUUCUGUGGCGCCGGAUCUAUCCGUUCACCUCUUUCUUCCUCCUAGUGCUAUGCCAACAAGGAGGCAGUGUUUCUUCCGUUCGAGGCUAUGUAUGGCCUAAAGUCGUAGCAACCUCGUUGCCCCAAGUGGCUCGUUCCCGACAACAGUGAGGUGGAACCUACACGGAUGCAAGGACCCAAUCAUGUUUUGCAUCAGUUUGAGCUCCUUUUUGCAAAAGUCUAAGGACUUGUUAUGUAUUUUUCUUGUUUCUUUAGGGCCUAGAGUCAUGUUUUUGAUAAUGAUAAUAAAGAUACAGGAUCCCCCGUCUGACAAAAAAACUUUGGUAAUAGCUCAUCUAAAUAAAUUAUAAUGUUUUUCACUUGUAUACUGUACACGUAAUCUUACGUCAAUCUUCCACAUAGAUAUAAAAUCAAAGCCAUUGGAUAUUCAAUCGUUAAUUCAAUUAUUUCUCUAAUGAACCUUUUUAUUCUACUUUUUCACUGGCCCUGCAGGGAAUAGCUACGUCACGGCAACCAGAUUGUUAUAUAACAUAUCAUCACUAUACUAAAAAAAUAGGCGGUACAUUACCACGACAUCUACGAUCAUAUGAUAAGCAAUAGUGGCCCCUAGCUCGUACAAGUGCAGUAUCCAUAUUAGAAGGUUCAGCACACUUUCCUACUCCAUCAUUGCUAAAGUUGAGUACUACAAUAUGAGUGGCAAAGUACAGACCUAUAACCGUAUUUCAAAUAGGCAUAAGAUGGAGAAUAUAUACCCUCCAGGAGUGUCACCUCCUUGAUGGUUCCAACAAAUUGAUAUCAUUGUUUGACUACUUCUGUAAGAAAUAUAAUGUUCCAAUAAAUUGGUAUCCAGAUUUAAUUUGACUACUUCUCUAAAUAACUUACUACAUAUAGUGUGUAGACACUUGAAAUCUGGAAAUCGCAAGAUCCUCCUCAUCCCCGAAAAUCGUCAGAUCCUCUUCGUCCUUGGAACGCCUCACCGGUGUAUCAUCUACACACCAUGGGUCGCGGUCGGCGGUUCCCAAUCUGUUGGAAGAAAGGCAGCCAUGGUGAGCUCGCCAUGUACUUUAAGCGGCUCCACUUUUCACAUCAUGUCAUGAAAUAUCAUUGUCGAUUGGGGGAAAUCCAUUAGAAUCUCGGCUAUCUCAUUUCUUCUUUCAGCCACAUCUCACAUAAACUAAAGCUUCAGAAUUAGAUUAUUGCAUGGAUUUUUAAACUCAGUAAACUGUGUAGAAAUGGUACGAUGAGAACAGAGCAGUAAGGUGAUCACCUUAGAAAGUUCCUGACUAAUGUCAGUUUUUUCAUAACCAAAAGCACCAGGAAUAGCACCAUGUUCCUCCGAAAACUAAGGGGAGCAAUGCAUCAUGCACAUGCUGGAACCAUUUCAACAUAGGUAAGAUUGAGAUUUAAUGGCGUCGGAAGGAAAUGAUAAAACAACAUCUGGAAAUUUUGGUCAUGCAGGAAGAGAAACCAUGAUAAAUAAAAACACACAUUUUAUUAUGGAAAUUGAACCUCAGGAUAAUUCGUAGACAACCUGUCCUAUAAGAAGAGGUAUAUCCACAGAACGAAGGUCUCUAUGUAAGCACAUGCCAUGACUGCAGCUCAAUAAGUUCCAUGCAUUAAGCUAGUAAUUUAGUCCCUACAAAAGUCAAACAAAUUAACUUUCUUACCUGAAGCAUAGUAAAUUCUUUUUGGAUGCCCUGAUAUUCCAACUCUAGUAUUGUAUCUUGCAUACAUAGCAACAACAAUUUUUCAAAUAAAGGUAAGCAAUGGUAGAAAACAUGGGUUGAAGCAUACUAAGUUCUUUUUGGAUGCCCUGAAAUUCCAACGCUAGUACUAUAUCCUGCAUACAACUCUAUACUCUAUCCUGCAUACAUAACAACAACAGUUUUUCAAAUAAAGUUAAGCAGUGGUAGAAAACAUGGAAUCAAGGCUGUAUUGACCAACUGGAGCUUUGUAAAUUGCUUUCCCAUGGAACCAAGCGGAAGGGCGACAUGGUGGUUCAUCAAAUUAUUCUGAAAGACAAUUGUCAGAGAGUCAGAAAGCAUUGCAUGUGCACAUGGGUUAAUAAUGACAAUCUGACUUAUUUUUGGAAAUUUCAAAAGCUCACACUUUGAAUAUCUUAAUCAAGUGAGUGCACAUGCAGCAAGGUGCACUCUCUUGUGACCUUUGUCCUAUCUAUGUAUGCGAUAAAAAAAUACUGAGCGGUACCUCAAGAAAAACAGAAAAUUAUGCAAUGUUGUACAAUGUAGGUCAAGAGUGAUGUUUGUACCUGGUGACUAUUUUCUGGACAUUAUGUCCCAUUAUGUAUAAAUGAAUCUGGUUUUCUGAUGACAAAUGAUAUAAUCACAUUUUUAAUAGCUCAAAUAUAUCUAUAGGAAAGCCUACAAAAACAAUAAUCAUAUUGUACUAAGUUUACAAAAAUUGGUUCAAAAGAUUGUAUGGUAAGAACAGCUUAUAGGAUUUAUUUUACCUGGUUAAUGACUUGAAGCACGCAAUGAAAACUCCAUACAUUUUCUUGAAGCAGCAAUUCAACAAACGUUUGGUGCAUGAUCCUUUUAUCAUGAAACCAUAAUUGGACAUGUAGUAAAAGUCCCCCAGUAAUCAACUUUCUAAACUGCACAUCAUGUAACUUCAGUAGAGUAUGUAAUAGUAAAAAAAAAAUCCUAUUUUGAAGACAAAUCUCAAGAGUCGAUUUGUAGGCUUUCAUGUUGGAGCUGCAGGUAAGAAUCAGCAAGAGAGCACGACCGGCCCAGCAGAGCUGAGAGCGCACACUCUCCAAACCAGAGGGGCAGAAGUAAGCCAACAUGGUGUCAGGCGGGAGUUGCGCUAUAGAGCAAGGUGAAGGAGACUGACCUUGGGCUGGUGGUGCGGGUGUAGCAGCAGCAUCCGCGGUCAAAUUAGGGAUCAGAGGUAGUAACACAACAACACAAACAGACCAAAUUAUAUAUUACUACACUGUAAUAGAGCGACAACCAAAAAUCAUAGUCAGGCAUCAGCAAAUAGCAUACAAAUCAGGCCAAAAUAAGCAUUGAAGUUUUGCUCAAAUUGGGGAUCAGAGGUAGUAACAUAGUAACACAGGCAUCAGCAAAUAGCAUACAAAUUUCUCCAAUAGUUCAAUCAAUGAAACCCAGAUAAGAAACUUGAUCAAAGGAACAAAGGAACAAAGGAACAAGCUGGUCAAGUAUUUCACAUCUUUCACAAGAGAAACGUGAUUUGCUUGAUUGCUCAUUGAAUCUGCAGUUGUUAAAUAUCUGAUGUAGCAUCUAAAGGUCCAACACAAGUAGAAGGACAGAUUCAUCAAAACUGUUGUUUCUGAAUGUAGGUGUGGAGCGAGGAGCUCCUAAAUCUCUAGAACUCUAUCCAUAACCCUGCUCUCAAUUUCUGUUUUUUUUGUAUUGGUACAUGUACAGUCGAUAUUAGUCUGCUCAUAAUCAGUCAAUCACUUCGUCACUUUUGCUAAGACUUCUAGCAAGGGCACACAAACACACCAAUGUUCACAGCAUGAUCAAAAACAGAUUGAGCAGCUAUUAAUACGGCAACAUUAUACGGCAGGAAACAUAACUACGACAAUUGCAAGAUCACAUAGUAGCAGUUGAAUUGCAACAUUAUACCACAGGAAACAGGAGAAGCAAGGGAAGAAUUAUAUCUGUAUCAUAUCCCAAGCGACGGUGCAAUGCUCGCUGGUGGCGCUGGCCUGAUUCACGAUUCCGGCAGAGAACAAUUCAAUGGUGCACUGCUCGCUGGUGGCGCUGGCCUGGUUCUGGAUUCCGGCAGAGAACAAUUCAAUAUAUAGCAUCGAACUACAAAUCCUGGUCGGUACGGUUUCUUUGUUUGAGAAGGACACGGGAGCAGGAGUUUGACAAGGACACGGAGGCGGAACGGGUAUCCCGCUCGCUCUUUCUCGACGAACAGAGCAACGACAGCAAGGGCGAGGAGUUUAGCAGAGAUUGGGCACGGGCGGAGGUGCGAGCGGUGGAGUCCAGGCACGCAGCGGCGGGAGACGAAGCAGACGACAACGGCGAUGAGGAGGCCUCGGGCAUGGGAUCAGCGACCAUGGCGCUCCUGUAGAGAAGAAACCAGGGAGGGAGAUGAGCAGGGGGAACCGGAGGGAGAUGUGAGAAAGGAGUGGGGCGGCGCUCAUCUGCGGUGGCGAUGGUGGCCUCUGGCGGCGGGGUUGGCUGGCCUCGGUUGGGCGCGAGCUCGGGCAGGACUGAGGAAGAAGGGGCGCGAGCGACGCGGGACCUGCUGGUGGUGCUGCUGCUGGCCACCGGCGGAAGCGAGCUCCGGCUCGAGGAGUCGAGGAGGCCACGAGGCAGAGCACAGGCAGCAACGACACGCAGUUGCGGGCGCGACGCGGACGGCGGGAGGCGGGGUCCGGCGGUGGGUAACGGGCAGCGUGCGGCGGCGCGGCUUGCGGGUGGCGGGGCGGCUCGAGGAGCUCGCGGGCGCGGGCGCCGUCGCCGUCGCCGUCGCCAUAGCCAUCACCAGAGAAAUGGAUAAGACUACGAGGCUGGCGGUUGCAAUUCAAAUAAAUACAAGGGGCUUUCUGCAAAAUGUAAUGUUAUAUACAGACUCACUAAAACAAGGAUUGCGGGUUAAUUUCAUGUAAACCGAGGGACUUUUUUGCAAAAUCACGCUCGACGACGGACGACGGAAACCCAAUUCUCUAUAUUAUUAUUAGGUAAUAAAGAAAAAUGUCUAGCUAGGUACUGCAACGGCUAGAUAAACCACGUGUCUGUCUCAAAAAAAGAAAGCUACAUACGGUGGAAAGCUGGCUUAGCUUUUCUGCAUGUUCUUGUUUGGCAAUCAUGACUACGUGCUAGUGGAAGUGCAUGGAUUGUCCCAGGGUGCUACUACACUGUGUGUGCAUCUUGCCCAAGGAUCAUGAAAAUCUCUUGUGUGUCUUUUGAAUUAUUCGUAUUGUAAAAGUUUCGCGUAUAUAAGAAAAUCAAUUCGACUAAAUUUAAGAAAAUCAACAGCCACAAGUACAAACCCAACAGCAGCCUCAGUCGAUAGAAAGCAUGCUGGGCCGUAUGUGGCUUCUCCCAGUGCUAUCGUGUGGACUUCUCCGAGACCUUCUCGCCGGCUGUUAAGCCAGCCACAAUCCGCACCGUGCUGCACUUAGCGGUCGUCCGCUACUUUCUUCCUCAAUAACAUGCUUGCCGAGCGUGUGUGUACUGACAAUAGUCUGCUAGUUUUAUCGAUGUGGGCCACCCCCAUGACGUUUGCCCCUCGACACAUUGUAUGUGCUGAAGCAGAAAGCCUUAAUUUCCACAGUCCUUGUUCAACCACCUGAUUGGAACAUAUCCUUUGAAAUUAUGUGUGAUGCUAGUGAUUAUGCUAUUGCUGUUGUAUAGGUCAAAGAGUUGAUAAGAAAUUGAACCUUAUACAUUAUGCUAGUAAUACUCUAGAUAGCGCUCAAAGAAAUUAUGCUACUACUAAUUAAGAAAGAAACUUUAGCAGUUGUGUUUGCAUGUGAUAAAUUCAGACCUUAUAUUGUUGAUUCUAAAGUUACUAUUCACACCAAUCAUGCUUCUAUCAAGUAUCUUAUGGAAAAAAGAUGCUAAACCUAGACUAAUUAGGUGGGUUCUUUUAUUGCAAGAGUUUGAUAUGCAUAUUAUUGAUAGAAAAGGAGCUGAAAAUCAUGUAGCAGGUAAUUUGUCUAGGAUGGAAAAUGUUCUUGAUGACCCACUUCCUAUUGAUGAUAGCUUUCCUAAUGAACAAUUAGCUGUUAUAAUGCUUCUUGUCCAUGGUAUGCAGACUAUUCAAAUUACAUUGUUGCUAAAUAUAUAUCAUCUAGUUAUACAUACCAAUAAAAGAAAAAAAAUCUUCUUUGAUUUAAGACAUUAAUUUUGGGAUGAACCACAUUUAUAUAAAGGAGUAGAUGGUGUUAUUAGACAUUGUGUGCCUGAGCAUGAAUAGGAACAAAUCCUACGAAGUGUCAUUCUGAGGCAUACUGAGGGCACCAUGUUGGAGACAGAUCCGGAGGGAGAUUCCUUUUACUCUCAUUUUACAAACCUCACUACAUCUGGAAUUAGUACACUGCAUGAGGUUAUCUUAUUGGAGGAACAAAACCGUGCUCUUUGAAGGAUUAAUGGUAAUAUGGAGUACUUAUUGAAGCUGAAGGACAAGCCUACUACUUCAUCACCACCACCAUCAUCAUCAAAUAAAGAAACUUGAGUACAAGGGUAUGGGCAUCACCCUUGGCUUUUUCCAAGCUUUGGGCAGGUGCCCUGGUAUCGUAUCACCAUCACUUUUACCAUCAUUAUCUAUCUUAGUUUGAUCCUUAGUUAUUUCAUGAUUUAGAAGAAUACAAGUUUAGUAUGAUCUAGUUUCGAGUGUUUACUUUGUGUUUUAUCUAUCUAUGUAAUCGAGUGCGAGAGUUCUAAAAUAAAUAGUAAUUUGAGUUUGCUUCUUUACUUUCUUCUUUCAAUCUUAGCAAUAAAAAGAAAUAAGAGAUCAUAUGCUAAUCCCAUGGGGAGUAAUAACUUCACAUAAGAAGGGGUGUGGUUGAUCAAAUUUAUUGGAAAUUAACAAACAUAGUAUUGAUCAUGGGUGCAUGAUGUCUACUACGCAACUUGUUCUUGUAGACUCAUGUUGGGCCUCCAAGCGCAGAGUUUUGUUGGACCGUAGCAAAUUUCCCUCAAGUGGAUGACCUAAGGUUUAUGAAUCUCUGGGAGGCGUAGGAUGAGGAUGGUCUCUCUCAAACAACCCUGCAACCAAAUAACAAAAAGUGUCUUGUCUCCCCAACACACCAAAUACAAUGGUGAAUUGUAUAUGUGCACUAGUUCGGCGAAGAGAUGGUGAUAGAAGUGUAGUAAUGAUAGUAGAUAUUGAUUUUUGUAAUAGGAACAAUAAAAAACAGCAAGGUAGCAAUUAACAAAAGUGAGCACAAACGGUAUUGCAAUGCUUGAUUAUAUUAGUAUUUGUGAGUUGAUUAUACGAUAUGCAUCAAACAAUUUCUGAUUCAUAAUACUCAAUUCAACAUAUAGAACCUCAAAGAGUGCCCCAAGAUUUCUACUUGAGAAACAAAGAAAAGAACAUGCAUCAACCCCUAUGCAUAGACUACCCCAAUGUUACCUCGGGAAUCCGCGAGUUGAGUGCCAAAACACACAUCAAAUGAAUCAAUAUGAUACCUCAUUUUCACCACGGGUAUUCUUAGCAAGACAUACAUCAAAAGUGUUCUCAAAUCCAUAAUAGUAUUGAAUCCGAUAAGAACUAAAUCUCAAAGGGAAAACUCAAUUCAUCCCAACAAGAUAGAGAGGAAAAAACAUCAUAUGAUCCAACUAUAUUAACAAAGCGCGCGAUACAUCAAGAUUGUGCCAAAUCAAGAACAUGAGAGAGAGAGAUUAAACACAUAGCUACUGGUACACACCCUCAGCCCUGAGGGUGGACUACUCCCUCCUCAUCAUGGUGCCUGCCGGGAUGAUGAGGAUGGCCAACAGUGAUGAUUUCCCCCUUCGGCAGGCUGCCAAAAUGGGGUCUAGAUUGGUUUUUCGUGGCUACAGAGGCUUGCGGUGGCGGAACUUCUGAUCUAUGUUAACUUUCGAGGGUUUUUGAAUAUAUAGGAUUUUUCAGUGUUUGAAUCCCGCGAAGAUGGGCCCCAGGGGCCCCACCACCCACCAGGGUGCGCCGGGGGGGGGGGGGGGUGGCGCGCCUUGGUGUCUUGUGGGCUACAGGGGGCCCCCUCUAGUGGUCCUUUGCUCCAUUAUUUCUCUUUUCUUCCAAAAAAAAUCAUCAAAAAGUUUCGCCCAAUUCCGAGAACUUUUAUUUCUGCACAAAAAAAAUAACACCACGGUAGUUCUGCUGAAAACAACGUUAGUCCGGGUUAGUUCCGUUAAAUCAUAGCAAAACCAUAUAAAAUUGUUUUAAACAUGGCAUGGAUAUUUCAUAAAUUAUUGAUAUGUUGGAGACGUAUCAGUGCAAUUCAUGCAAGAUUAUUAAAGGGAGAGAGAAUUCACAUAUAAAUAUACUAUCUUGGACAUCUUUUAUGAUUGUGAGCCCCAUCAAAUAUUUUCUGCUUGGUAAAUAGUUGAUGUUGGACAAGAAAGACAACAUAAUGAGUUAUGUUUGUUUACAUUCACAUAGAAUUUAUAUUGUCGUGGAUCCUCCAACAUUUGGUGCUUGUUUAGAAUCUUUUGCUAGCCAAAACUUCGUACUGAGUAGAGAUACUAAUCGUACAUCCAUAACCCCUUAAACUCAGUUUCUUGUCAUGUGAGUCCACUAUAUCUACCUAUGGAUUGUAUAAGAUUCUUCAACUAAGUUGUCCUCAGUGAAAAAGAAAUAAAAUUGCUUCUAAAUAUGUAUGAUCUUUUAUUUUAAGGGAAGAUAAGCUUUGUAUGAUCUCGUGAUGGCAAAGAAAUAAAAGCGACAGACUGCAUAAUAAAUGUAGCUAUCAUAAGGGUGCAAUAUAAAGUGACAUUCCUUUUACUACUUGUGCAUUCCUUCUUAGGUUUUUGUUAUUUAUCAGUCAUAUCAAGGAAAGGCUUGGUAGAAGCACUUGCCACGAAAGAAGGACACCUCAGAUUCUGAUCAUUCGCUUAUUCUAUUAUAUAAACAUACAUAUUACGAUCUUCUCAAUCUCAUAGAGAAUUGUUUAUCCGUUAGUAUCUGUAAUAAAUUUUAUAACUAGACAACAAUAAUCCAUAACUAUCCCAAAUAUAUGAUCACAUAUAUGAUUUAGUGUCAUGGCUUUAUAUCACGUGCUUAUGAAUUCCCGCACCAACAUGCGUUCUACAAAAUAUUACAAAUGUGUUAUUCUCAAAAAAUCUGACAAAAUAUUAUCAAUUAGGACUCGUUGUCAUUCAUAAUGAUGAUAGUUUUUUUUAACCAUUUUCCUGUGUUCUUAAUAGUAUUAUAAAAAAUGUCAUGUACACAUUGAGGUCAUUGAUAGUAAAAAUGGCAUAUACACUGGUAGCCUGGUACUAUCAAAAGAGCUUGAAGCAAUUGACCAAUAUCACACAAAACGAACCCGAGCUAGACUGAUAUGCUAGGUUUGACUUCAUCGUCGACUUUAUCACUCCUGAAGGGGCUCCUCCUAAAGACUAGGAACAAGAGUAAAACGUGUACAUGACUAAGUCUAUGAACUAUAAAUGUUAAUAAUCUUCUCUUAGUCGUGAUGGGGUUCACUAUUGAAAGGGCCCAUCCCACUUAAGUCUACUGAAACUGACUUUCGGACACUGCUUCAAGUGGCAUACUAUUAAGGACUUUUUUUUUCAGCUUCACCAUGUAGGUUGAUACAUAUAUUAAGGACCUAACAUUCUUAACUGAAUAUCUGGCGAUGUUGAUUAUUUAAAGAAUAGGGAAAAUGAUGGUUGUGAUAGUAUGAUGACCCUUCUAUCACCAGCGAAUCCUUCCCAGAAGCUUGUUAUCCGCCCUGACAAACAAGGAAACAUCGGCCACUUUAUUAAUGGCAUCAAAACCACACUGUAAGGAGUCACUGCCUAUCCUGAUGAAUGUAAAUGUAUUAGGCAUCACUUAUGCCACUCUAAUAUUAUCCAACUCCUGCAGUGAUGGAAAUAAUAAGCAGAACAUGAAGUGUGUGAGAGAUGACAUCGACGGCGAGUGCCAUGUCUUGUUGGUCACAUGCCGUGAUAUUGAUCGUGGUGAGAAGCUAUACUGCGACUACAAUGGGCAUGACUAUAUGUACCCAACGAACAAUUUCGUCAACUCCCCCAAUAGUUCUGCCCUGCCCUGCAUCAAGGAGUCUGGGCGAUUAAUGGCGGCACUUUCAGCAUUGCCGCUGAAAGCAGUAACUUAUAUACAGUUCAAUUGCCAGAAGAUGUCCCUGAUGGCGAACAAUGAUACAUGUUGAUUUUGUUAGUACCUCGUAGUGUAAAUAGUCUUCUUUCAGCUGUGGAUAGAGACAAGCGGGAUCUUCCUUUUCUUUUAAUUUCUCCUGAUCUCAUUCCUGCUCGACUUGAGUCUUAUUCGGGGAUUUAUGUGCCCCUUCUAUAGAAGUAAAUAUCUAUCAGCCCAUGUCUCUCUAUCGAAUGGUUAAGUAGAUGUUGUGUCCCAAUUAGUGGUACAUUUGAAACUGGAAGAGAAAUGUUUCACCCCGUUUGUUGGGGAAUUGUUCUCCAUGUUCAGUUAUUUCAGCUGGUGAAAUGUGGUUUCCUUAUUGGUGCCGUGGUUUUUUGUUUACUUUGUAUUGCCUUGUGGCUACUGGGUAUUUUAUUUUAUUUUCUGCGGAAAAACUUUCAAUCUAUUCAUCUUCAAUCAUGGUAGUACAACGGACACUAGAAAUAAUAAAAAUUACAUCCAGAACCGUAGACCACCUAGCGACGACUACAAGCACUGAAGCGAGCCGAAGGCGCGCCGCUGUCAUCGCCCCUCCCUCGCCAGAGCCGGGCAAACAUUGUUGUAGUAUUUCAUUUACUUGUUCUUUUGACACAUCCCAACUUCGAGAAGACGUGGCAAGUUACCAGGAGUGAUCUUGAACUUCCAUGCCUUUGUAACCUCUUGAAGUUGACCCCUAACUAACUUCAGAACUAUAUAAAUACUUAAUGAAAUGAAAUCUAGUGCUGAUGAUUUCGUCAAGAAAUGUUUUUCCAGAGAAUUUAUCUAGUGCUACUGUGUAUGUGUUUAGAGCAUGCUGUACUUUUCCCAUAAACAUUGUAUAUUUUUUUUUAUAUAAGGAACAUUUUUUAUAUACAUUUUUUUUCAAAUACAAGAUUAACAUAUUUUCAUAUAUAUGUUUUGAUUUUUAUUUUUUAUAUACAUUAUACAGUUUUCCUACAUGUUUAACAUUCUUUAAUGUGCGAUUAACAUUUUUUUAUUUUUGGAUAUAUGAAAUGAUAUUUAUAAUAGAUAUAUUCAGAAUAUUUCGAAAUACAAGAAAAAAUAAAAAAGAGAAAAAAUAUAUCCGAUAUGUGGUUUAUCGGUCUCAAAAACAAAACUGUCUAUCAACAGCGUCCUGUACUACACGGAGUAUCCCUAAAAAAUUGUACUAUAUGGAGUACUCCUACAUGACAACACAGUACGACAGUAGUGCUACACCCGCAUGAGGCAUGACUUUCCCAUUUUGACUAGAAUCACGACUCACGACCGGGACGGUCUGAAAGUCUGAAACACACAACACUCACCUGCAACUGCUGCCGGCGACGGGAUUGGAUUGGAUGGGCAUGGGCUGCGUUCUUCCUCCUCCCGGCCGCUGAAUCUAGCCGGAGGAUCUCCACGACAGCAACUGCUACUUCGCAGAUCUCCACCCCCUUCCCCACUCCGCCUCUUGGGGUGCAAGCCCCUGCCUGCCCCCUACUCCACCGCCGGUACGGCAAGCAUCCGGAUCUGAACCUGAUGGCCGGAUCUCGGGACUGGGCUGGCCUCGAUGAAGGGCCUGUGGGGAUCAUCGCCGACCGCGUCCUCUCCUACGACGUUUCCGAUUAUGUCCGUUUCCGCGCACCACCACUGGCGGUGGACUAUGCUCCGGGAGGAACACGCCACGCCCAGUCGCCGCUCCUUCCUCAACACCUCCACCGACGAGUGCAUCCAGGUGGACAUCCCCGAGCUCCGCGACCACGACGUGCUCGCGGUCACCGCCGAGGGUCUCCUCGUUCUGCUGCACAGGCCUCAGUGCACGGACGUCCGCCUGCUCAACCCGCUCACCCGCCGUUUCCUUGCAGAUCUCCCAGAGUAGGCCUUUUCCAUUAUUGUUUGGACAUAGAAAGACAGUGCACGGCCUGGGGCUCCGGCAUCACCGGUGAUGAUUCAACAGUGGUGCUCAGCUUCAACCGGCUCGGCAUGCUUGGCACGGCCAAGCCCGGCGAUGACCACUAGACGCCGGUCUACUACGACGGCUAUUCUAUGGGUACGGCACCCGUGAUGUUGGCAGGCCGCUUCUAUUGUGUUACCGUAAAGGGCGUCAUGGUGUUGGAAAUGGGUGCAGAUGAGCCACCUCGGUUGGGUGCAGAUGAGCCAACCUGAAUAUGCCUGCCCGGCCAUUUGACGAUUGCAUGCACCUAGUCAACAAUUGUGGGGAGCUAUUGCUGAUCCACCGUCAAAGAGUGACAGAGCCAUCCGGGAGUAGUAUUUGGAUGGGGAGGUAUGACACAUAUCGAGUGGAUUUUGACACAGGGGGGUUCUUCCGGGUCAAGACUCAAGAGCUUGGGCAGCGGCGCAGGGUGAGCGGUGUUCAUGGGCAUGGAUAGCUCUCUGUCCAUCUCUCUACUUGAGCUUUGACUUUGGCGAGAGGGAAUUUUCAAACACUGGAUUGUAUCAUCUCAGGUUUGGAUGCAUGGGAUGGGACGUGCCAGCAGAUGCUGGGGUGGCUUGGUGCCACAGCCGCAUACCCUUGUUGACCGUCUGCUUUUUACCAAUACCGGCAAGUAUACUGUAUGAGGAGCUAUCCUAUUUCCUUGAUGUCAAGCAUUCAGGCAUACACAAAUGUAAACAUUUUAUUAUCGCAUGUGGUUAGCUACAGUUAUAUAGGAAUGAAUAACUAGUCAUGUUUUGCAUACUUUGUUGCUAUAGACUUUACCGAUUUAUGUCUCCCGAGAGCCUCAGAUUUUGCUGAAUGUUGGCUCCAAUGUUGCCCAUUUGUGCCAUGUACUGAUCUCGGUGGAGUCUGUUGCAUACGCUCGGCACCCCACUUAUAUAUGUAUUUAUAGAGUCCAGAUGUAGUGGUAACACAUGUAGAUCUCCUUGUGAUCUUGUUGAGCAUGGUCAGAAUCUUUGGGUCCUCUGCCAUCAGCUUCGGCAAUGCGGCACCGGAGAGAAGUACCGAGGAGCAGUGACGACGCACACAUCUUGAGCUAACAGUCUGGAGACCUCAAAUCUUGAACAAAAAGGGAUUUAGCUAGCUAGGACUCAUACAUACUCACAUGGCAUUAGUUGAGGAGUGACAACGAAGCACUCUAAUGCUACCCUAGCGGCGAGGACUUCGAAGGCUGCCCAGGCGGGAGGUCCUGCACCUUGUUGCACAUGCCAGACCCAUAUGCCGACACGCUGAACUCAGCACCACCGACGGCAAAGGUGGCAUGGAACAUAGGCGUCUGGUCCAGGCCCUUAAGCCGUUCGGUGUAUGCCGGUGCCACUCGCCAUUGCUUUUGGCACAAUUGUUUAUCUUGAGCAUCCAUGGCCACACUAGUAGAAAAUGGAGCUUUAAUACCGGUACAUAAGGGUCUUUAAUACCGGUUCUGCAACCGGCACUAAAGAGUGGAGACUAAAGCCCCCCCCCCCUUAGUACCAGUUCGGCACGAACCGCCACUAAAGGCCCACCAUGUGGCGUGAGCUCGCGCCGUGGUAUGUGAGACCUUUAAUACCGGUUGGUGUUACCAACCGGUACUAAAUGAUUUUUUUUUGAAAUUUUUAAAAAUAAUUGAAUUUUUUUUCAAUUUUCAAUUUUCUGAAUUAUUUGAUGAUUUAGUCUCUAAUCGCCCCUCUUAACUACUCAAGUGUGGAUGACUCAUUCCAAAUCGUCUAACUUCCCGACCGGUCUCCAAUACCUUCUCUCCUACUUGCUCCGUUCUCAAAUAUAAGUCUUUCUAAAUACUCCAUAAGUCUUUCUAGAUAUAAGUUUUUCUAUAAAUUUCAACAAGUGACUACAUAGAAAACAAAAUAAGUGAAUCUACACUCUAAAAUAUGUCUCAUACAUCCGUAUGUUGUAGUCCAUUUAAAAUGUCUAAAAAAUUUAUAUUUAGGAAGCGGAGGGAAUACAUCGCCGUUGCAUGAGUGCACUGGCGAGUGUGCCUCAUUACUAGUACGAUCUUGCAGCCAGCAACCAACCGUGUCAGCGUACGUCUUCAUGCAGGCAGGAACAAGGCCGGUCCGCCAUGCAUGCGACGCGGUAAGCUGUUGAAAACUAUAGCUAGUAAUGGCGGACACUGACCGUGGGUGCGAGAACGGUCGCCAUGGCAGGGUCAUGUGCGUGGUAGUAAAGGAGGCAUGCAGAUGCAGGGAAAUGCUGCAGGUUUUGCCUUGGCAUGCAUGGAUGUGAAUCCAUGGACAUAUGUGUCCAUCCAUCCAUGGUGCAGAUGCAUUUACCUUACCAGGAUUGGUGAGGGAGCAGAGAUGAGCACAGCAACAGGCAGGGACUGAUGCCGCGGGCCGUGCUUUCGCACAUGCGUGCACCAGGAUAUGAUCGGAUAAAAUUUGUGACCGGUGAAAUAUGUCUGUACCGUGCCCAUGAGGUAGGGGUAGUGAUUCACACUGCUCGUCAUAAACAAACCACCCAUGUUGGUUGAGCAGCGGAGUUACUGAGGCCAUUCAAUCCCUCUUUUCAACUUCGGAGUUCUAUUCCCCCUACUUUCCAAGUCUGCACUUGUUGUUUUCCUGACAAAUGUAAGCUGUAAAUCCUAUUAACCCUCAGCAGUUUAGCUUGAGCAUUAGGUCACACAUUUCACCGUUUGAGUUUGAAACUAUUAUUCUAAAAAACAGUAAUUAUUUAGUAACACUAAUAUUUCUUAAAUAAGUUUGACCAUAGUUUGACCACAGUUUGACCAUAGUUUGACCAGAUUUGACCAAAAUUCAAAAAAUUGAAAUAAUUAUUUACUAACACUAAUAUUCUUGAAUAAGUAUGUAGUAACAUGAAUACUUCUUGAAUAAUUAGUUUGACCAUAGUUUGACUAGAUUUAACCAAAAUUAAAAAAAAAC